rnacentral:lncRNA from 1 species
UUCCCAACUAAUGGUAAGUCAUAAUGCAAAACAUUAAGAAAGUGUUUAAGAUGUACCUCGCUUGUCACAUUGCUCUAUUCAACUGCCCAGCUUACAUCAACCCUUUUACCACAGUUUGAUGCACAAAUCAUAACUCUCAUAAAUGGUAAUUCCACUGAUAACUCAAAAGGCUUGAUAUUGCUUUUCUAUACCUCUAGCACUUCUAGGAGGGUCUUCGUAGCACUCUAACUACUGAGUCACUAUUCCCACCACAUGGAACAUCCUUGGCUAGUUGGAUUGUCGAGAUUACUUUAGUUUCAUCCCUUAUGUCUCAACUCACCGACACAACGCAUUAUUGUUGUCAAUUAUUUGAAAUUCAUAUACUAUUGACAAAACGAACCAAAAGGGCAUUAAUCUUGUUAAGAAAAUUCAAGCCAAGCAUGAAGUCAUAAUCAAAAUGAAUUACCUCAAAGUCUUCAUUUCCUUUCCACUCACCAAUUUGUAGCUUAAUUGGUAACACCCCAAAAAUUUUGAGAAAUUAAUUGUGAGAAUUUGCAGUAAUUAAGUCUCUAUAUCUGUGGUUGUGUGUUCUGCUUUUGUGAUUAGGGUUUUGAGUUCAAGUCACGUCAUUAACUGUUUUGUUUUUUUUAAACAACUUUUACCCACGUGUUAUAUAAUUAACUUCAAUUUAAUGUAAACAUGUGACAAGAAUGAGCCUUUUGGUUCACUGGUUAAGCAUCUAUUUGUAUUCUGUCUGGUUCCAAGUUUGAAUCCUAGGGUAUGCGAUAAGGAACAUUCUUUUUACUAAGUGCUAGUAUCUGACUAGAAGUUAUUAGGAAUUAAAAAUUUCGUCAUCUUCCAUUCGUUUAUUUUUGUUUUGUUGAUGUCUUUUAUUUAUUUCUUUUUCCUACUUCCCUUUCUUUUUCAUUUCGAUUCUUUAAUUUUCUUCUUCAUUUUGAUCACGAUCAUACAUAAGUAUGGGUCUAGACGAAGUUAUACACCGUUAAUUACAUUGAUAGAAAGGUUAGUAAGUUUCACUGUCAAUUCGUUAAAUUUUUGGGUUUAUGUUUUGAAUUAGGCAUCUCAAGCGUAUUGUGUAAUCUUUGAUAAUUAGUCGCUUAGUUUCCUCGUAGGCAGAGGUGUCGGGAGUAGCAAACCUCAACUCAAUAAAUUGAGCGACUAUUGUUGACUUUCCAGUAAGUUUGAUUUUAUUGAAGGUUUCAUGUCAAAACCUUCGACAUAAAGUAUUAUGUGUAAAAUGUGCGUUAUUAUCGAUAAAGUUAGUUGAUUGAAUUAUUGGAUGGUCGUUUUAGGCUUCGAAGACUCUCCUCAUUGUUUUUGCUUUGAAAUCUCUCCAGGUGCAUACCGAAAAAUCUUAAUUUUUGUAAGUUUUGGUCGCCAAAAAUGAUGGUUGUCGACACACACGGCCAUGUGGCUGGCUGUGUAACUCACUGUUCAUCAAUUUGGAGUCACACGGGCAAGGCACACAGACGUGUGUCCAGGCCGUGUGUGACAAUAUUAGUGUAGAGUUCACACGAGCAUGUUUGUGACAAUAUCUGUUUGUGACAAUAUCUGUUUGUGACUUAGGACAACACAAGCGAGCACAUGAGCAUGUGCCCAGGUCGUGUGUGUCACACGGGCAAGUGUCACAGGGCUAGAUCUUUCGUCUCGCGAUCCAUGGGGCUUUAGGCGAUCCGUUCAUCCAAACUCGCCUAAAUCAGCCUUGGCUCAAGAGAGGAUUCCUUAAAAACUCCUUCAAGGCACCAAUUUAUAUAGCGGAAGCAAACUUAUGCCAAAAGAAGCUACAAAGAACAACAGAAAAGAACACACACAAGGUGUUUGAGUAAAUUCUCUCAAAAUUCUAUUACUCUUAAGAAUUCAACAUACAAUGGAAUGCCUUUCAAGUGAGGGGGAGGCUCUCUAUUUAUAGUUGAGCUCCCCCAAAACUGACGAACAGGAUUAAUUUACAUCGACGGACGAGAUUAACCAUAUCCCAUGAUUUUAGGGAUUUACAAGAUAUGUCAUAUCAUAUCUAAUCUAAUCUUUACAAGAUAUAAUUCCUAUCAAUCUUCUAAGAUUAGUUAACAUAAUAGCCUAAGUUGUCAUAUCUUCAUUAUCAGGCCAACCAGGCUUUAAUCUGACAGGCUUCUUCAAUAGCUCUUUGAAUCGGGUCAGUUCUCGUAGGCUAAAUGAUCCUCAUCUUAUUGACAGACCUUCAUGGGGCGCAUCUUCUGCCAUGGUCAAAGGCUUUGCACUUUGACCCGUGACAUCUCCCUCACCCAUUCUCGCAAUACCCUCGUUGCGACUUCAAAAUGGCACUAACUUGAUUCACCUCUGAACCCUCUCGUUGCCUUAGCUUCUUCUCGACUUGCCUUGCGAUCGGGUUGUCCCUUUUUUCAAAACUUUUGCCUCGGCUUUCAUCGUUUCUUAGCUUGAACCGUUACACUCGUUGGUACAUCUCGUUGGCAAAAAGUCUUCGCUCUAACUUGCCCCAAUUUUGACUUUUUCCCUUUUGAAUCGCCUUGAUUCUCACACCUUGGCUUCGUAUUGCCCACAAUCCCUUGGCCUCCUUGCUUAUCAACUUUGAAAGGACCCCCUACGACCUUGCCAAGCCAACAAGUCAAAAUUCAAAACACUAUCAAGGUGUUCGCAAUAUACCUUACUCACAGCAUUUACUCGUCCCGACUAUUUUUACAUCGCUCCUUUUCCCUCGAAGCCCGAUACACAACCCACAUUUCUCAAAGAUGUCAGCUCUACAGUCGAAUCUGCAAGCUUCAUAUCGAUCUCUUGCACCACUAACACUUCUGAAGGGGCUUUCGUAGUAUUCUAUUCUAUCGAGUCAAUAUUCCUCUCAUACGAAACAUCCUCGACUAGUUAGAUUAACGACAACAACUUUGUCCCCACCUUCAUAUCUCGAUGCAUUGGCACAAUAAUUUUUUAUAAUGGACCAGUGAUAAUAUAGAUUUAAUCGGCCUAUAGAUGCAGAGAUUCUUAUUCGGUUCCUUAAUUGAGAGACCAAGUUUCCCCGCAGUCUUUUUUGAUAUGAACAAGUUCGAUGCUCCUGUAUCCACAAGAGCACUCUUCUUUUGACCUGCAAUGUUGAUGUCUACAAACAUCAACCCAUCUCCACCAUUCCUUUUCUUUAGAAUGAGCACCAUCGAAUUGACCGUCGAUGUAUUUUUCGCAAUAGGCUUCGCCUCUUUCGGCUCAUCAUUCCACUUGAUAGCCGAAACUGAAGAUACCUUUGGGUAGUCCCUCUUCAUGUGCGGUCCUUUACAAAAGUAGCAUUAUAACUUUUCCCUCUUUUAUUUGGGGCUAUUAGGUCUUAACUUCCCAUUUCAUGGUUCCCCAUUAUCACCGUCGCUACUACUACCGUUGUCAUAAUAGCUAUCCCUCUUCAUCUUCCUCAUGGUACCCACAAUUGCCCCUCCUGUUAGGCUUGGAAGAUUCAAACAUGACUUUUCUCGGAAUAAGUUCCACUAUGGACUCCACUACCAUCAUAGAAUUGGUAAGUUCUUGAACUCCUCGAUGUUGUAAUUCUUACUUCGUCCAUGGUUUUAACCCAUCUGUAAAGGAGAAAAAUGCUUCCUUCUAGAUCAAAUCAGAGAUCUGAAGCAUGAGUUUACUGAACUCCCAUACAUACUCCCUAACCGUGCCUCAAUUCGUAAGCCACCGUAACUUUGCUCAAGCUUCAUCCUCGACAUACUCGGGGUAAAACUGUACCUUAAAUUCCUUUCAAAACUCUUUUCAAGUCCCAAUCUCGAUCCCACCACGUCUCACAUCAGUAGACCUACAUCGCCACCAUAACAAAGCAACGUCAGUAAAAUACAUAGCAACAAUAUUUACCUUUGUCGCAUCAUCCUCCAUGUUCAUCGUACGAAAGUAUUGCUCCAUGGCCCAAUGAAAGUUGUCCACUUCACUUGCGGACCUUGCCUCUUUAAACACUUUUGGUUUGGGCACAUCCAUUGCUUGUUGCUUCGGCUUUGAAGCUAACAUUCCAUUACCUAUGGCAGCCUUAAAAAUCUUGAGCUCCCCCUUAAGCUCAUUGAUCUUCUUCAAAGCUGUCACAAUAGCCUUGAGAGCAUCGUCCUUCCCAGCUAGUUCAUUCUCCGAGGAACCGAUAGUAUCCCACACAAAUUCCUUGAGCUGCUAUUACAUUAUUUACAACCCAUCAUUGAGUCUAUCAUUGACAUCACCAAUCCUCUCCUUGACCUCCUCCGUGGACUCAUUGAGAGUGACAACUCAAUCCUCCAAAGCUAACAAUAAAUCCCUCAAUCGACUAUCUUUUCUAGCCCUUCUUCAAGUCUUCAUUGGCCCACUUUGACUAACAACUUCUUUCUACAUCCCAAUAGUACCUUCGAACCAAUAGUUUAAAUACCACUUGUCACGAGGCUAGACCUUUUGUCUCGCGAUUCGUGUGGCCUUAGGCGAUCCACUCGUCCAAACUCGCCUAAGUCAACAUUUACUCUAGUAAUGAUUCCUUAAGAACUCCUUCAAUGUACCAAUUUAUAUAGUGGAAGCUAACUUAUUCCAAAAGAAGCCACACAGAACAAUAGAAAACCAUAGAAAAGUACACACACAUGGUGUUUGAGCAAAUGCUCUCAUAAUUCUAUUACUCUUAAGAAUUCAACAUACAAUGAAAUAUCUUUCAAGUGACGGGGGGCUCUCUAUUUAUAGUUGAGCUCCCCCAAAAUCGACGGACGAGAUUAACCAUAUCCCUUGAUUUUAGGGAUUUACAAUAUAUGUCAUAUCAAAUCUAAUCUAAUCUUUACGAGAUAUGAUUCCUAUCAAUCUUCUAAUAUUAGUUAACAUAAUAGCCUAAGUUGCCAUAUCUUCAUUAUCAGGCUAACCAAGUUUUAAUCUAACACGCUUCUCCAACAGUUCUUUGAAUCGAGCCAAUUCUCGUGGGCUAAAUGAUCCCUAUUUUAUUAACAAACCUUCAAGGAGUGCAUUUUGUGCCUUGGUCACGGGCUUUGCACUUUGACCCGUGACACAAGAACAUGACUGUGUGUCCAGGACGUGUGAACCACAUAACAAGGACAUGGGCGAGUGUCCAAACUGUGUUGCAUAUAUAAAAAUGAUUGAAAAUUAUUUUUGAGGCCGUAAAUGUUACUUAAGACUGAUUUUGAUGUCCCCAAGGUAUGAAUAGUCUGAAUUUGACUGAAUGAGAACUCUCUGAUACCCCGUGACAUAUACAUAAAUUUUAUACCUGUAUGUGCACUGUGAUACUUAGUCUAACAUUAAACUGUGCUAUCUACUUGUACAAUAAUUUAGAAUAACUAAAUACAUAUUGUAGAUAUUGGUUCUUUACAUAUGCAUGGCUUGAGAUAUUAUGAAGAAGAAAGUGAUCUGCUCUAAAUUAGUGGCUAAGCCACCAUAUGUAUAACUCUGAUUCCGGUGUUUUAUCGCAUUACGAUUGAGUAGUUAAGUUACGUUUCUGUAAACGUGUAAGACAGACACUUUAUGGUGUGUAGGGUUGAUUGGGCAUUGAACACCCUUAACGGUGUGUUGGGAUGACCGAAGAUGGUGUGUAAUGGAUAAGGGUUAAGAAUAUCUGCAUCUGACUCUGAUCUGUUCUAUAUAUGACACUGAAAUUGUUUCUACAUCCGAAAUUAAUCUGUCUUAGAUUUGAACUAGAAAUAUUUCUGUUAUCAGAUCGAAUCUUUGAAUCAGGACACUGUUUGGUAAAUAUGUUUAUGUUAACAAACUUCUUUAUGCACUGAGUUCACAACUCACUUUAUUGUUGGCUGGUUUUCAAGUGGUUCUUAGUCUUGGACGGGUUGGCACCUCGGAAGCUUGGUUAAGCUUUUAUCUUUCUUUUAAAUACUACUUUAGGAAUUUUGGUAAACUAUGAUAGUAGGACUGUGGAAGAUUAUAUACUUAGCUAAUCUUUGUAAUUAAUAUUAUGUGACGUAUGGUUUAGUAUUAUUGUGUUAUAUGUGUGGUAUUUGAGUAUCAAUAAUUUGACUUCUUAAACAUAGACUGGACGUCUAGACCGGGUUUAGGGUGUUACAUUUAGUGGUGUCAGAGCUAGAUUUGUCGACACUCAAACUGUUUUUGGGCUCAUAAUGUGUGAGAACAGUAGUUUGGUGAUAACUUAGUAUCUGAGUUAAUAUGGAAAAACUAAAACUUUAGUGAAUGACCAAGCCUCUGAUGCUAACCCUGUAAGUAUUUUUGUUCUGUUAUAAAGUGGUUAAAUGUUUUAAUAUGAACUAGUGAAAUCAUCCUAUUGGAUGUUUGAAUUGAUCCGUGCACUCUGACAUUAUAGCUAGGUUGUCAUAAUGAGUUCGUGCGGUAGUCGUAGACGUGGUAUUCGGGGGCGUCAAGGACGCCGAGGAGGAGCUCGAGUAGAGUCAUCCUCUAUGGGUAGUAUGCCCAAUCUAGAGACCAAGGAGACAGUUGGUACUCCCACUACUGAGACGGGGUCUCAAACUUCAACAACUGGAGACGACGCAAUGUCUAAGGCCAUAAUUUGAGUACUGGCAAGGGUCGUAGGGACCCAUUCAAGAUCAGGAGGCCGAGGGUAGAUUACUGAGCGACUCUGGUCGAAUGGGACUGAAUUAUUCAAGGGCGUCAUAGGAGUUGCUCCUACUGUUGCUGAAUAUUAGCUCUAGGCUACCAAGCGUAUUAUGACUGAUUUUGACUGUACUCUCACUCAGAAAUUGAGGGGUGCUGUAUCCCUACUUCGGGACGAAGCUUACCAAUGAUGGUUGACAGUUGAGCAAUGUGCUCAGUUUGAACAGGUUAACUUCGAUUAUUUCAAGAACGUUUACCAGGGCAAGUAUGUAGGGGUGAGUUAUAUUAAGGCUCACCAAUAUGAUUUUAUGAGCCUAGUUCAGGGCGCCCGAUCUGUGGUUGAAUAUGAAGCCGAGUUUCUGCGACUGAGUAGGUAUGCACUGACUUUGGCAGUGUCUGACUACGACAAGUGCGUAAGAUUUGAGGAGGGAUUGAGACUUGAUCUGCGGGUUCUAAUAGCUCCUCAGAGGGAGUGGAUUUUUACGGUUCUGGUUGACAAAGCAAAGAUAGUAGAAGAAGUGAAGCGUGCUAAGCGCGAGUGGCAUGAUCGUGAGAGGGACCAGAGCAAGAUUAAGAGGGAUUCGAGCCAUUCUGGUUCUGGUCAGCGCCCUAAGAAGCAGGCGAGUUUGACCGGCCCCCGAUGGCCAAUACACCGACUGUAAUAACUGAGAUUCAACUACGCAGUGAUAUUAGGAAACACCAUCCAAGAGAGUGCUGGAGGAAGUUAGGAGCAUGCCUCUGUUGUGGGUCGAUAGAGCAUUGAGUUAGAGACUACCCUCGUCUUCCAAAUUAGAUGCUAGUUGCGAUACAAACUUUGACUCCGAGUUUUGUUCAACCUCCGAGAAUGGUUCAGCAACCACCUAGAGGUCGCAGUACUGGUAGAGGCAAUAAUAGUACGAUGAGACGACAGAGGGCAUCAGGUAAAGGUGUAAGUCAAACUAGGGCUCGUUAGCCGGCACUGGUUUAUGUGGUGAGACACCGCGAGAAGAGCGAUGAUGUUAAAAUCAUUGCAGGUGCCUUUUUUAUUAAUUCUAUUCUGUACUAUGCUCUCAUUGAUAUUGGCUCUACUCACUCGUACAUAGCUAAUGUUGUUCCUACAAAUCUGGGUUUAAUUGCUAAAAAAUAUUGCUAGAGAGUUUCUGUGAUUAGUCAUUUGGGUCAGUCAAUUCAAGUUGAUAAAAUUUAUAGGUAGGUACCCCUACAGCACUAAGGUAUGGUAUUUCCAGCUGACCUGAUGAAAUUACCCUUUAAUGAGUUUGAUUUGAUUCUGGGAAUGAACUGGAUUAUAGAAUACCGGGUCAGUCUGGAUUGUGCAACCAAGAGAGUUACUCUAAUAACGGAUGAGAAUGAUGAAGUAGUAAUGGUCAGUGAGUGCCAAGUUUACCUCUCUAAUGUAAUCUCUGCUCUUGUAGCAGAUAAGUUAGUCCGAAAGGGGUACAAGGCAUACAUUGCCUACGUAUUCGAUUCUGUUCCCGCAAAGCUUUCUACGUGAGACAUUCAUACUGUGCAGAAAUCGUCGGAUAUUUUUCUUGAGAAAUUGCCUGGGGUACCUCUGGAUUGGGAGGUGGAAUUCGGUAUUGAUCUGUUACCAGGUACAGCUCCGGUGUCCGUUGCACCCUAUCGCAUGGCACUGAAAGAGCUAAUCCAGCUAAAAGCGCAGCUUCAUGAACUUCUCAACAGAAGGUUUAUCCAAUCGAGCAUGUCUCUAUGGUGGCUCGGUACUGUUUGUUAAGAAAAAACACGGGUCGGUGAGAAUAUCCAUAGACUAUAAAUAGUUGAACAAGUUGACAAUUAAGAAUAAGUACCCAUUACCGACGAUUGACGACUUGUUUGACCAGUUUCGAGAAGCAUCCAUCUUCUCCAAAAUUAAUCUGCUCUCCGAUUACCAUCAGCUCAAAGUCAAAGAGACUGAUGUGUACAAACCCGCCUUCAGGACUCAUUACGGACAUUACUAGUUCCUGGUGAUGCCUUUCGAUUUGACGAAUGCUUCGACAACCUUUAUAGACUUAAUAAAUCAGGUGUUCGAGCCGCACUUGGAUUAGUUUGUAGUGGUUUUAUCGAUGAUAUCCUAAUUUACUCCAAAACUAAAAUUGAACAUGAUAAUCACCUUCGUACUGUACUUCAACUACUCCGAAAAAAUAGUUGUAUGUCAAGUUCAGUAAGUGCAGGUUUUGGUUACAGGAAGUCACUUUUCUAGAUCAUGUGGUAAUUGUGGAAGGGAUCCGAGUAUAUCCCAAGAAAAUAGAAGCUAUAGUUGAGUGGAAACAGUUGAGCUUCGUAGUUUUUUGGGUUUAGCCGGUUAUUACCAACGAUUCGUUAAGGGAUUUUCUUUAAUUGUGUCACCUUUAACGAAACUUUUACGUAAAGGUGCUCUGUUUGUGUGAUCUGAGGCACAGUAGUCUAGUUUUGAUAAGCUCAAGUCUGUUCUAACACAGGCUCCUGUUUUAGUUCAACCGAAAUCAAGUCGGGAAUUUUUGGUAUACAGUGAUGCAUCACAUGUCGGGUUAGGAUGUGUGCAUAUGCAAGGUGGUCAAAUAGUUGCUUACAAGGGUAACUACCCUACACACUAUCUUGAGCUGGCUGCGAUUGUGUUUGCUCUGAAGAUCUAGAGACACUAUUUCUAUGGUGAAAGGUGUAUCAUUUACACCGAUCAAAAAAGUCUCAAAUAUUUGUUAACUCAAAAAGAAUUAAAUCUUCGAUGGUGCAGAUGGGUUGAAUUACUUAAAUAUUAUGAUUGCAGGAUAGAGUACCACCCCGGUAAGGCUAAUGUGGUAGCUGAUGCCCUUAGCCGUAGAGCGAUUACUGAUCUGAGAUCAAUGUUAGCUCGUCUGAGUUUGGUUGAAGAUGGGGGGUUGUUAGCAGAAUUAUAGGUUAAACCAAUUUGGGUGGAGCAUAUUCGAGCUAAAUAGUUGACCGAUGAGUCCUUAGUUCAGCGAUUGUAACAUGUUAGUUCGAACGGGACUUUUGAUUUUAACUUGAACAUCGAUAAUGUGUUGUGCUUCAAAGGUCAGAUUUGUGUAUCUAAUGAUAAAGAGUUGAGGCAUUCGAUCCUACAGGAGGCGCAUAGUAGCCCCUAUGCUAUGCAUCUUGGUAGGAACAAAAUGUAUCGAGAUCUCCGAGAGCUUUAUUGGUGGCCCAAACUGAAACAGGAGGUAGCCGCCUUUGUAUCCCACUGUCUGACGUGUCAAAAGGUUAAGGCUGAACAUCAGUUGCCCUCCGGAUUGCAUCAGCCAAUUAAAAUUUCUCAGCGGAAGUGGGAGCUGGUAACGAUGAAUUUUGUUAGUGGGUUACCUUUAACCCCCACUAAGAAAGAUUCAAUUUGGUCAUCGUUGAUCGGUUGACAAAAUUAGCCCACUUCAUUCCUAUCCGAAUAGAUUACUCCCUACAAAAGUUACCUAAACUGUAUAUUACUAAAAUUGUGAGAUUACACGAGGUUCCAAUCUAAAUUAUCUUUGAUAGAGACCCACGAUUUACAUCUCGGUUCUAGAAGAAACUUUACGAGGCCUUAGACACCCGACUUAAUUUUAGUAUUGCGUAUCACCCUCAGACCGAUGGACAGUCUGACCGAGUCAUUCAGAUUCUGGAAGAUAUGUUUCAGAGUCGUGUGAUAGACUUCUAAGGUAGUUGGGAGAAGUAUCUACUGUUGGCUAAGUUUGUAUAAAACAAGUAUUCAGAUGAAACCCUAAGAGGCCUUGUAUGGCCGUAAGUGCCGUACUAUAUUAUGUUGGAUAGAAUUAAGUGAACGUCGGAUAUUGGGUCCUAAGUUAGUUUCAGAAACUGAGAUUUCUGUGAAAGUGAUUCUUGAUCGCCUAAAAGUAGCCUCUGACCGACAGAAGUCUUAUGCAGAUUUAAAAAGAAAAAAUAUUAAGUAUUCUGUAGGAGAUCAAGUGUUUCUAAAGGUAUCACCCUGGAAAGAGGUCCUUCAAUUUGGACGCAAUGGCAAGCUGAGCCCGAGGUUCAUUGGGCCUUACCGUAUCUUGAAGCGUGUUAGACCAGUUACGUAUCAGUUAAAAUUACUAUUAGAGCUAGAACGAAUUCAUAAUGUGUUUCAUGUCUCGAUGUUGAAACGGUAUCGAUUGGAUACAUUGCACGUUGUUCUUGUUGACGAGAUCGAAUUGCGACCGGAUUUAUCAUUCAAAAAUGAACCUGUCCAAAACUUAGAACGUGAUGUUAAGGUACUGAGGAAGAAACUGUUCCUCUAGUAAAUGUUUUAUGGCAAAACCAUGGUACUAAGGAGACCACGUGGGAACAUGAAGAAUCGAUCCAACAGCAGUAUCCGUAUCUGUUUGAGUCAAGUAAAUUUCGAGGUCAAAAUUUUUUUAGGGGGUGAGAGUUGUAACACCCCAAAAAUUUUGAGAAAUUGAUUGUGAGAAUUUGCAGUAAUUAAGUUUCUGUAUCUAUGGUUGUGUGCUCUACUUUUGUAAUUAAGGUUUUGAGUUCGAGUCACGUCGUUAACUAUUUUUUUUAAACAACUCUUGAUCAUGUGUUAUAUAGUUAAGUACAAUUUAGUGUAAACCUAUGACAAGAAUGAGCCUGCUAGUUUACUAGUUAAGCAUCUGUCUAUAUUCUGUCUAGUUCCGAGUUCAAAUCUUAAGGUAUGUGAUAGGGAACAUUCAUUUUGCUAAGUGCUAGUAUCUCUAACUGGAAGUUAUUAGGAAUUAAAAUUUUCGUCAUCUUCUAUUCGUUUUUUUUUUGUUUUUUUAAUGUCUUUUAUUUUUUCCUUUUUCCUACUUCCCUUUCAUUUUCUUUUCAAUUCUUUAAUUUUCUCCUUCAUUUUAAUCACGGUCAUAAGUAAGUACGGGUCUAGAUGAAGUUAUACGCCGUUAAUUACAUUGAUCAAAAGGUUAGUAAGUAAGUUUCACUGACAAUUCGUUAAAUUCUAGGGUUUAUGUUCUUAAUUGGGCAUACCGAGUGUAUUGUGUAAUCCCUAAUAAUUAGUCGCUUGGUUUCCUCUUAGGCGAAGGUGUUGGGAGUAGCAAACCUCAACUCGACAAAUUGAGCAACCGUUGUUGACUUUUCGAUAUGUUUGAUUUCGUUGAAGGUUUUGUGUCGAAACCUUAAAGAUAAAGUAUUAUGUGUAAAAUGUACGUUAUUGUCGAUAAAGUUGGUUGAUUGAGUUAUUGGAUAGUCGUUUUAGGCUUCAGGGACUCUCUUCGUUAUUGUUACUUUGAAAUCUCUCCAAAUGCGUACCGAAAACCUUAACUUUUACAAGUUUCGAUUGCCAAAAAUGGUGGUUGUCAACACCACACGAGCAUAGGCCGUGUAAGCCACAUGGUCGUGUGACAGGCCGUGUGAGCCACACGGUCAUGUGAUAGGCCAUGUAAGCGACCGUAUAACUCACUGUUCAUCAAUUUAGAGCCACACGGGCAAGGAACACGGGCGUGUGUCCAGUCCGUGUGUGAAAAUAUUAGUGUAAGGUUCACAUAGGCGUGUGUCUAAGCCGUGUAACUCACUGUUUGUGACUUAAGACAACAUGAGCAAGCACAUGGUGAGUCACACGAGCAAGGACAUAGUCGUGUGUCCAGGCCGUGUAACUCUCUGAUUUAUGCUUUAAAACCACACGGGCAAGGACAUGGGCGUGUACCCAGGCCGUAUGGCGUAUAUAAAAGGGCUUGAAAACUAUUUUUCAGGCCGUAAAUGUUACUUAAGACUGAUUUUGAAGUUCCCAUAGUAUGUAUGGUCUGACUUGUGACAUAUGCAUGGAUUCUAUACCUAUAUGUGCACUAUGAUACUUAGUCUGACAUUGAACUAUGCUAUCUACUUGUGGAACAAUUUAGAAUAACUGAAUACAUAUUGUAGAUAUUGGUUCUUUGCAUAUGUAUUGGUUGGGAUAUUUUGAAGAAGGAAGUGAUAUGUUCUAAAUUAGUGGCUAAGCCAUCAUAUGUAUAACUUUGAUCCCGGUGUUUCGCCGCAUUACGAUCUAGCAGCUAAGCUGCAUUUCUGUAAAUGUGUAAGAUAGACAAUGUAUGGUGUGUAGGGUUGGUUGAGCAUUGAAUGCCCUUAACGAUGUGUUGGGAUGGCCGAAGAUGGUGUGUAGUGGAUGAGAAUAUUUGUAUCUAACUCUGAUCUAUUCUGUAUAUCAAACUAAAAUUGUUUCUGCAUCUAAAAUUAAUCUGUCUUGGAUCUGAACUAGAAAUGUUUCUGUUAUCAGAUCGAAUCUUUGAAUAAGGACACUGUUUGGUAAAUGUGUUUUUGUGAACAAAAUUCUUCAUGCACUGAGUUCACAACUCACUUUAGUGUUGGUUGGAUUUCAGGUGAUUCUCAGUCUUGAACGGGUAAGCACCGCGGAAGCUUGGUUUAGCUUUUAUCUUUCUUUUAAAUACUACUUUAGGAAUUUCAGUAAACUAUGAUAGUAGGACUUUGGAAUAUUACAUACUUAACUAAUCGUUGUGAUGAAUAUUAUGCGACGUAUGGUUUAGUUUUAUUGUGUUAUAUGUGUGGUAUUUGAGUAUUGAUAAUGUGACUUCCUAAACUUGGACUGGACGUCUAGGUCGAGUUUAGGGUGUUGCAAAAUUCCUUGUGCUACUCCUACAGUUGGUACCUCUUCGAAAUUUACUAUAUUAAUAUUUUUAGUCGAUUCGCUAAUUGAAAGGUCAAGUUUACUCACGACUUUCUCCAAUAUGAGCAAGCCUGAUGCCUCCGUAUCAAUAAGAGCACUCCUUAUUCGGCCUCUUUGAUUUGUUAUUAGGCUUCCACCUCCUAUUAUGUGGUUUCCUUUACCAUUAUUCUUACCAUUUUCCCCAUUUUCAUUUUUAACUUGUCCAUCUUCCUCAUGGUCUCUGUUAGCUCAAUUAAUCAAACUAAAAUUGCCAAGAGGUGGGUGAAUUGGCUUUUAAAAAAUUUGGUGGAUGUAUUGAAAGAAUAUGAAACAAUGAACACAAAGAUUUAGAGUGGUUCGGCCCAAUUGCCUACUGCACUACCUUAUCUUUCCACAACUAAGAACUUUUCUAAAUUCACUAAUUUGUUCAACCUUUGAGGACAAGGUUUAACCUUACAACCCUCUUAAGAUUUCUACCCCAAAUCUUAAGAUAAACCCUCUCAAAGAAUUAAAAAGAAGCAAACAAAGAGAUAAUCCUAACAAGAUUAGAAUGUCUGCAAAUUAAGCAUAAAUAGAUAAUAAUACACUUGAGCAAAAGAAAGAAAAUGAAAGCUCAUAAGUGUAUACAAGAGAAUUAUGGAAGUAUUGAGUACAAAGGUUGUUUGAUUAAUAAUUUUUCUUGAAUAUGCUUUCUUGUUGUUGUAGGAACUUUCGAAGCUGGUAUUUAUACCCUCUAAUAUAUUUCCAACCUUUGAGGUUGUUGUGGUAGUUAAUAGACUCGUUGGGAUAUGAAAACUAGAGUAUUUAAUACACCUGGAAUAGCGAGUAUCGAUACCAAAUAAAAAUGUAUCAAUAUUUUUUGCAAUAAAUGUUAAAUUCAGUAACCGUUGGAGUUUAACUAUUAAUACCAAAACAAUUUUAUCGAUACUUUAUGAAAAGGUAUCGAUACCUGACUGCCUCUAGACGUUCCAAUGUCUAGAGUAAAAAUCCUACACAAAAGAUGUGAACAAAAGGUAUCUACAAGUAUACAGGUCAAGUUGUAAUAUAGUUACAACGGAGUAUGUAAGUCCUCUAAGGAUCGUACCCAAGGGAGGCGGGCACUAAAUUAGUUCUAAUUUAAACAUAAAUAGAUAUAAUUAAUACUUUAAUUAAAUUAUAGUACGAAAGAUUAAAAGAAGAGUUUUAAUAAACUAUACUAAGAACGUAAAAGAAAAUUAAAUAAAUGAAAAACAAGAAAUCAAAUAAAGAAAUAUGUAUCAAAUCUAGGCAUAGGUGAUUAGCUUGUUCCAGUAAUCAUAAUCAAUUGUCAUCACGGGCUUUCUUAUUCCAUCAACUAGUCAAUACCCCAACAUGAUCUUUCGAUAUGUCCACUGAAAUAGUGAGUCAAUAAAAAAAUACUGAGUCAGCAAGAACUAUUUAUCUUUCGACCUCACAGUCCAGAUUGGUUCAGGGUUUGGACUAAAAAAAAAGUGUUUUCCAUUUGAAUUCUCAAAUGUGGAAAACUUGGCUUUGGUUACUGAUGUACAAAACAACUUUGAUAUGUGGCACUUGAGGUAUGAGCAUAUUCGUUUCAAGAGGCUGAAGUUGUUGGGUCAUUGGAUUACAAAAAAACUAAUUCUCUUGAUUUAUCUGAGGGUUGUAUUUAUAAAAAGCAAAGUAGAAGUCUAUUUCAUGUUGGGAAAGCCUAGAGAGCUUCUACUUGUCUUGAAUUAAUUCAUGAUGACUUAUGUGGUUCAAUGAACAUUGAACCCCUAUUUUUAUUUCUUACUUAUUGUAAAUGAUUCUAGUAGCAUGAGCUAGGUAUAUAUAUAAAUAUAUAUUGAUAAGAUGACUAAAGUUCACAAGUUACAAAAGGUAAAUGCAUAAUUACUCUUACCCUAAAAGGUUUUUAGCUCUACGUUUUGUCCAAAUUGGUGUGUCAUUAUUCUCAUUAGUCUAUAGUAUGCUCUGUAUUUGUUCUCUUAGGAUGUGGAUGCCGUCCAAUAAUGGUUUGAGUGUUUAAUGUAUUGAAAAAAAUGUUUUUUAUCCGAUGAUACAACCAAUCAAUUUGUCUUUAGUUUUAAAAAUACACGAAAGAGAAAAUGCCUACUUGGAGGGAAUUUACUAGUGCUACUCGUAACAUUAAUAAUUUCCUCAUAAUUUCAUUUUCUUGUUGAAAUCUUCUUUCAUAUGUUGAUCUAGUUUUUCUAUUCGAAUUUCUUAUAUGGAGCACCUAUGCUAGUGUCACGGGGUUAAAACUUUAGUCUAGCAAACUGUGCGACCUUAAGUAGUUCUUUUGCUUUAAAUCCACCUAAGCUAGUCUAACCCUCAAAAAAUGAGAAUUCAUAAAGGAACUCUAAGGCGCCGAAAAAAGCAGAAGCAAACUCAAAAGCGAAGAAGCAACAAAAGAACUGAAAAGCCACACAAAGCAAUGCAAACUAGGUGUUUGAGUAAAUACUCUCAAAGUAUAUUUAAUAACUCUAAAUGGGAUGGGAUGAGAUGAUUACAAAUGAGGGGGAAGGCCUCUAUUUAUAGUUGAGCUCCCCUAGAUCCAACGGUACAAUUUAAAUUACAUCAAUGGUCAAGAUUAAACCCUAUCUAUAAGAUAAGAGUCUUAAGGGAUUUAAACUCGAUACAAUCUUAUCCUUAGGAUUUUCAAUAUUCACCAUGGCAACUCUAAUUUUACUACAGUGUUCCACUGGGUUACCAACACCAAAAGUAGAUGGGUUUCUCUGUGACACCUUAUAUCCUACGCAAUUAGAGGAUCCAAAUAUAAAAUGUCACAUUCAAAUGCCGAAACAAACUAUUUUACUAUUUCACUUUAUUGAAAUGGUAGUGUAGUGGUAAAAUCAUUUUUUAAAAAAAAUUGGCAGCAUUUAUGCUUAUUUUAUGUAAAAACCCCCUGCAAAAUUUAGAUUUCACAAUAUAUCCAUAUUCAAAUAAUCUCCCAAGUCAACUCCCAACACUUCGAUAUUUCGAAACAUACCGCAAACUAAGUAUAUCACAUUAAAGUCAUUUAAUUCACUAAUAAUAUUAUAAUUACGGCAACCAAAAGUUUGUUUUUUAUGUCACAAAUACAUAUCUAUAGCCAAAUGACUUUACUAAAAGCGAAGUACAUGCCAACUUGAAACAAAACAAAAUAUACGAACUUUAUUGAGUCUAGGAUUUUUCGGUCGGAUCCUGACGACUCUGAGUACAAAAUCUCAAAAUACACCUAGCCUGCAUAUGAAAACAAGACCAUUCUGUGUGUAUUAAUUUCAAAUGGUAUUACUAUCACUUACUCAAUAUAGCAUAAAAUUUAAAUAAUUGGACUUAGUUGAUUUGUUUCUUCCUUAGACCAAUUCAAGUAUGUUUCAUAUCAAAGCUUAUCCAAUACAUUACUAUACAUAAGUAUCCCAAACAAACCAAAUGCGAUAUUUUAACUAACCAGUCUAUUUUAACGAACUUAUUAACAUUUUAUGCUAACAAUGUAUGCAACCUUAUUCGAUUUUGUCUCAUUUUCUCAUAUUGCAUUACAUUACCAAUUUGAAUCAAACCAUUCUUCAUGUUCAAUAUUUAUGUUCACUAAUACAUAGCUCAGAUCUAAACUAAUUUAUGGAUCCUACUAAUAUUAUAAUUUGGCACCCAGUGCCUCAUUGAUACGUCACAAACUAAACAAAUUGCGCCCAAUGCUCAUCAGUUAAUUUGAACCAAUAAUCAUGCUCAGCAUUUGCCGGUACGUCCGAUGGUUAGUGCACCCAACGCUCAUUCACCUAUAGUCAAAGUAAUUUUAUAUCGGUACAUCCAACGUAAACAAUUCGCACCCUGUACUCAUCGGCUGAGCCGAAGUAGUAAUUGUGAAAGCUAAGGUUGGAAUGUUUGAAGAAAAAUGCGCCUAGCACUCAUCGACUUAUAGUCGAAUCAAUUAUCGUUAUUUUAAUCGAUUCUAUAACUCAUUAAUUAUUCUCAACUUUGCCCAACAAUUACUACAACAACCCAUAGUCUAAUUUAAUUCUCAGUACAAUUUCCAUUCUAUUGAUCUCAACAACAACUCUUCUGUUGAAUGUCAUUUCAUAUAAAACAUGGCAUGAUUUGUCUCAUGUUCAAGCCAAAUGCGCAACUUUACUAAACUAUACUAUUUCAAAUUUUUAUACAAUUUAACUCUUUAUCAAAAUAAUUAAUCGCAAUAUUGUAUUUCUAGUUAGUCACUCAUGUGUAACUUCCUUCAUUUUGCCAACUUACCUAACAAUGAAAUUAAAGGGAAUUUCGAACUAUUUGUUGGUGACUUCAGCUUUUUCCUUCGCUUUUGAAGAAAUUGGAUCGUUAGUAGCUAUGAAUUAACAUAAACAAAUAACACCAUCAAUAAUUCACCCAAUUCAGAGUCAAUUAUUAUCUCAAACAACCUUUAUAUUUCAUUCAAUUUAAAUUCUUAAAAUCAAAAUAAGCAUAACUCGUCAUUCUAAUCAUUGAUUUAUAAUUCGACUUCAUUUCCUUCUAUUUUAAACCCUCUAUUAUCGAUUUCUAACAAAAUCUCAUAACAACUCUACUUGAUAUCCACUUUAUUUUCUCAGGUGAAAAAUCUAACAUUUAACUUCAAAAUCUAGUCAUUUUUCAUGUAUACUCUAAAAAUCUAUUAAUUUAACAUCAAAAACAUAGAAAAAUCAUUAAUAGUAAAUUUCUAAAACAUUAAUAGUUUUAUAAAUUGAUACACAAGUUGGUUAAAUUAUGAUUCUUCAAUCUCAAAAACAUAAAAUUUAUAAGAGAAGUAAUAAAUUACAUUCACCAAUUUGUGGAUUAAAGCUUGAAAACCGUAAGCAAAUUUCCUCUAUUUCUUUUCUCUAUUUUUUUCUCGUGCGUAGAAGGAUGGAGAAGACAAUCUUCUCUCUCCUUCCACUUAAAUCAUUUCAAUUUUAUUUUUUAUUUUUUAUUUUUUAUAAUAAAUAAUAAUAACAUAAGAGCCAGGUGUUUUUUUAGACACAAAUUUGGCAUGUUUUAUUGCUAUCUUAAACUUUUGAGCUAUUAGCAAUUUUAGUUCCUUUAACUAUUUUCAAAUUAAAAUUUAUAGCGAUCUAAGUUUAUAAUUUAAUCCUUGUACUAAAUUAAAUACUCAAAUCAACUAAAUUACUUGUCCUUGAUUCAAAUCAACUAGACUCAAUUCAUUAAAACGAAACCUGAAACCGUACUUUUCAACACCACUGUACCGGGUUGUUACAAUCUCUAUAUGUUCCACAAAUUGAGCUUGAAACAACCCGUUUUUAAUAGUGUCAAAAAUAGUGGUUUCAAGGCCAUAAAUCUCCGUAAAUAUUACGAGUCAAAUAUAGUAAUAUGAUAAAUUUUAUUUGAUAAUUUAUGUUAUUUGAAUGAAAAAUUAGGUUCAAGUGGUAUAUCCCUAAAGUCAAGUGGUUUUAGAAAAGGAGGUAUUGAGAUCUUGUUUCUAUAAACGAGCCCAUAAAUAUUUUAUUAAAUAUUUACGAAGUGUUAUUAGGGUCAUAUUAAAAUUUGGUUAAGAAAUUUUAACGUUUAAAUAGUUAAUUAGGUAAAAAGGAUUAAAUUGUAAAAGUUGCAAAAGUUGGUUUCUAUAAGUUAAAGGUACUAAAAGGUUAAAUUAAUAUGGUUACAAGGGAUUUUAUGGAAAUUGUGCCAAAUCUUAGUAGCAUGCAUAGUUAGUGCUUUGUUUAAUUAAUUUAUAUGUUAUAAUUUUAUAAUAAUAAUUAAAAAGAAACUUAAGGUAAAUAAAAUAAACAAAGCACAUUAUUUUUCUUUAGUUUUUCUUUCUCAUAUUCUCCAAGCCAAAAACACCAUUGUUGAAGGGAGAACUUUCAGCCAUACUUAAUUUCUCAUACAUGGUAUGUGUUUGAUGCCCGCUUUUAGUAAUUUUUUAUGGUUUUGAGUUCGUAUUAGCUUAAUUUAACUAGUUCGGGAGUCAAUUUGUAAAGUUGUUAAAAUUCUAGGGACUUGCCAUGAAUGAGUUUGAAGUGUUUUUUCUUAUUUUAAUUGAUAGAUUAUUAAAGUGGUAGUUAAAUAUAAGUAUUUUGUUAAGCGAUUCUUAGUGAUUUUAAUGUCUAGGGAGUAAAUUGUUGAAAUAGUAAAAUUCAAUGUAAAUUGUGUGAAGUGAGGAAAAACAUGGGCUGUUUGUGAACUUAGUAAGAAUUAACUAGCAUGGUCUUUAGAUAAAAAUGAUGAAUUUGCAAGUUUCGGGUUUAGGGACUAAAUUACAUAAAAGGUAAAUCAUUGGGGGUAAACUUAUAAAUUUCUCAUUGAUAAGGUUAUAAGUUGUAUUAAUUAUAUUAAGUGAUUUGAAUGGUUUAAUUGAAUAAAAAUUAUUAUUUAGAUCAAGAAUCGAAUUAAAAGGAUCUAAAUCGAGAAAAAGCUAAUGUGUCGGAUUAAUCAAGGUAAGUUUGUAUUUCAUUUUAAAAUAUUACCUUUGAAUUUAUAAAUUUAAUUGAUAUCUUUACAUAUGUAUCAAUGAAUUGGUGUUGAGAUUGUCUUGAUUGAGAAAAGGAAAAGUCUGUGAUUGAAAUACAUCAUGGUAUUAUACUCGAAAAGGAAAAAGACCAUGGUUGAAAGAUACAAUGGCAUUAUAUUCGGUCUUUCCGAAUCAAUGAAAAAGUUGAAAAGGAUGUUAUCUGAAAAGGAUAUCAAAUGAGAAAGUUGAAAAGGAUAUUAUCCGAAAAGGAUAUAAAUGAAAAGAUCGAAAAGGAUAGCAAUGAAAAGGUCGAUAACUCAUCCUUCAACCAUUUGCAGGUAAUAUGUUUCAGGUGAGAUAUGUACCAUAAGUAUGAAAAUGAGAUGAAUGUUUUGAUUAGUAUAGUUUGAUAAUGAAUAUAAAUCUCUUGGUGUAAUUAUAUGUUUCAUAUGUCUAUAAAUAUGUUAUCUAGUUAUGUUUGUGGUGUGUUUAGAUAAUUAAAUGGUUAUCUGAGUAUUUUCUGAGUAUUCGAUGUUGUUUCAUUUGAUUCAACGGGUCAUUCAGGUUUAAAAUUAAAAGGUACGUAUAUGAAAUGAGCUACAUUAUUGAGAAUACGGAACGGAAAACAUAAUAUGUAUAAUUGGAAGGAAAAAAAGUAAGAAAUGGAUUAUAUGAUGGAUGAUUUAUAUAUUGAAAUCUUUUACAUGAUAUGUGCCAUGUUUCAUUGGUUAAUAUGUCCUUAAAUGUAUCUACUAACUAUGUGAAGUAUUGUGGAUAGGAAAGAAGAAUAUCCAUAUGAUCGAAUGAGUAAUGUUUAAUGGUUUAAUCAUUUUGUGUUCAGUAAGUUUAAGUUUUCGUUAUACAAGCUUACUAAUGACUAGUUGCUUAUGUAGUUGUUUUUCUCUAUCUUGUAAGUCAUCGAAAAACUCAAUCGGUUGAAAUCUCGUUGAAACACAAUCACACUAUCCAUUUGUCAUAUUGGUAUUUUUGGUUGUUUUGGUUAACAGUUGUAAAUGGCAUGUAAUAAGAGUUUAUUUUAUGUUAUUUACCAAUGUGAUAUGGUUUAAGUUUAUUUGCCUAUAUGUCAUAAUGUGGGCUUAUAAAUGUAUAUGUAAGUAUGGGUUUUAGUCACUCGUGAAUGCCUUAUGAUUUAGAUGGCUUUUGGUUCAUUGAAGUGUGAAUGAAGUGGUUAAAGGGUAGAUGUGUGAUGUAAGUUUAAAAUAUGAAUUUAUGGCAUUGAGCGUGAGUUUAUUUGAAUGUUAAUUUGUGGUACCAAUGAGGGUACAUUGGAUAGACAUUUAGAUUAAAUGAUAUAUGUGUGUUUUGGUAUGUAAUAAGGCAUGAAUGUUGAUUUGAUAACUUGGUUUGUUUUGAGUUUGUUCCAAGCUUAUGUGUGCCUUAAUGUUGUUAGUUAAUGAAUUGAAAAUGAAAGUAAAAAUAUAUGGUAUGUAACAUUUAUGUAUGCUCAUAUGAAAGUAGGUAAAAUAUGGUUGAAUGGUAUGCUUUCAAACGAUUAUUUGGUAUAUAUGAUUUAUGCUUAAUGAAUGAACUUGAAAUGUUGAAUUGAGUGAAGUUGAUGUGUUAAAUUGUGGUGUCAAUUGAAGGUACCUUGGUUAGGCACCUAAGUUGGUUCAUUUUGGUAUGUUUUUGGUAUGUUGUAAAGUGUUUUGGUCAUGUGAAAAUGAUUGGAAAUGGUAUGGUUUGUUGUGCAAGAAAAAUUUAAUGUUUUGGCUUGUCUAGGGGCAAAUUAUGUUGCACAUGGCCUGGGACACAAUUACCCCACACAAUCGUGUGUUUCAAGUCAAUAUGCUAAACGGUCUAAGACAAAACCUGCAGCACGGCUGUGUGGCUCAACAUUGAAUGCACAUAACGUCUGGCACACAGUUUGCGACACGAUUAUGUGACCCUACUUUGAAUGCCCAUACGGGUGAACACACGGGCUGGGACAUGGCCGUGUGUCCAGAUUUUGAAUAUCCACACGGUUUGGGCCAUGUCACACGGCCGUGUGACCACUAUUUUCAAGUUUUUCUAAAAUUUUCUAUUUUGUUUCAAAUUUAUCCCUGAUUUUUUUCAAGUUAUUUUUAGGGCCCCGAAGGCUUAGUCUAAGGCUCGUAAGAGUAUUUUUACUAUGAUUAUAUUAAGCUACAUAAUUAUUUCUGUUUUGAAGUUAAAUGUUCUAAUUUGUACGGUAAUGCUUUGUAACUCUAAUUUAGCAACUGAUACAGGUUAGGGUAUUAUAGGGCCAGUUCAAAUGGGUCAAACGAACCUCAUUUAAUUAGUUGACCUCUAUGGGAUGAUCUGUGUGCAUUCUUUAUGGGCUUUGAACAACGACCCGUGACACUCUCCCCCACCCAUUCUCGCAACGCCUUUGUCAUGUCCUUGAAAUGACACUAGCUUAACUCAUUUUGGAACUUCCUCAAUGCCUCGAUUGAUUCCCAACUAGUCUCUUUGUCAAGUAAUCCCUUCUCUCAAAACCUUUGCCUCGGCUUAUAUCUUUUUCGUUAUCUAACUUGAACUAUUUCUCUCUUUUGUACAUCUUGAUUACAAGAGGCCGUCGCUCUUAGUUGCCAUAUUGCGACUCACCUCAAUUGGGAUCCCCUUGAUCCUUACAAAUAAGCUUCGGCACACCCACAUUGAACACCAAGUUAACCUUGAGUAUUGUCGCUAACUCUGGUUUGUAAGCCAUUGGCUUACCCACUUUAGAACACUAAAAGGGUCCCUAUGCCUUUUCCCAGCCAAUGGUAAGUCAUAAUGUAAAACACUUGGAAAGUGUUUGAAAUGUCCCUCACUCGUCGCAUUUACUCUGUUCAACUGCCCAGCUUGCAUCAACACUUUUACCACAAAGUUUGAUGCACAACCCACAUCUCUCAUAGGUGGUAGCUCCACUAAUAACUCAAAAAGCUUGAUAUUGCUUUUCUGCACCUCUAGCAUUUCCAAGAAGGUCUUCGUAGCACUCCAAUCUAUCGAGUCAUUAUUCCCACCACACAGAACAUCCUUAACUAGUUGGAUUACCGACAAUACCUUGGUUUCAUCCCUUAUGUCUCAGCUCACCGACACUACACAUUGUUGUCGUCGAGUAUUUAAUAUUCAUAUACAAUCGACAAAAGGAACCAAAAGAUCAUUAAUCUUGUUAAGGAAAUUCAAGCCAAGCACGAAGUUAUAAUCAAAAUGAAUUACCUCAAAGUCUUCCUUUCCUUCCCACUCACCGAUUUGUAGCUCAAUUUCUUAUGCUACUCCUACAGUUGGGACCUCUUCAGAAUUUACUAUCUUAAUCUUUUUAGUCGAUUUGCUAACUGAAAGAACAAGUUUACUCACGAAUUUCUCCAAUAUGAACAAGUCUGAUACCCCCGUAUUAAAAAGAGCACUCCUAUUUCAGCCUCUUUGGUUUGUUGUUAAGCUUCCACAUCCAAUUAUGUGGUUUCCUAUUACCACUAUUCUUACCAUUGCCCUUGUUUCCAUUUUUAACUUGCCCCUCUCCCUUAUGGUCUCCCCCAUCAUUUCCCUUCUCUUUAGACUUGGAAGAUUCGAACUUGUCUAUCCUCAGGCCAAACACAAUAAAGGACUUCGUCUCGUCCAUAGCUACGGUAAGUUUAAUGAUUCCUUAUUGGCACAACUCCUAUUUUACUCAUGGUUUUAACCCAUCCUUGAACAAAUAGAUUGCUUCUUUCUCACUCAAGUUAGAGAUUUGAAACAUCAAUUCAUUGAAGUAUUUGACAUACUCCUAAUUAGUGCCUUGUUGCGUAAGUCAACAAAACUUAGCUCGAGCCUCCUUCUCGGCAUACCGUGGGUAAAACUAUUUUUUCAAUUCUUUUUGAAACUUCUCCCAGGUCCCAAUCGCGGUCCCACCUCGUUUCUCAUAUGUGGAUCUAUGACGCCACCAUAAGAGAGCGACAUCAGUAAAAUAAAUUGUAACAGUAUUUACCUUAGUAGCAUCAUCCUCAAUGCCUAUCGCACUGAAGUAUUGUUUCAUACUUUGGAGAAAAUUGUCCACAUCCCUCAUGAACCUUGUACCCUCCCCUUAAACUCUUUUGGCUUGAGGACAUUCAUCUUACGCUACUUAGGAACUAAAUCCAACACCCACAGCAGUUCUACACAUAACAAGCUCUCUCUUGAGCUCCACAAUUUUUGACACUAUGGCUUCAGUUUCUUUAUUCAAAGCCACAACUAUAACUUCGAGAGCAUUAUUCCUCUUAGUCAACUUCUUGAUAUGAUCAUCCGUGGCGACAUUAAGCCUAUUUUAUUGCAUCCUGAUUGGAACUGAGAGCAUCUGCUAUAUAGUCCCUGAGUUACUCUUACAUCAAUUUAACUAAUCGAUGCAUCCCUCAACUACCUCAAGUGUUUCCUUUACAUCACCCUUGAAUUUCUCAAAAUUGACAUUCGAUUUUUCCAAAGUCGACACAGUAUCCCUCAAUCUGCUAUUUUUCCUAGUCCUCUCAUGAGUUUCCAUUAAGACAUUCUGCUCGCCUAUUCUUUUCGUCAUCUCAACCAAUACCUUCAAACAUUGGCACUGAUACCAACUAUCAUAGGGAUAGAUCUUUCAUCUAACAAAUCAUGCGGCCUUAAGCGAUUUAUUUACUUCAAAUCCAUCUAAGUUAGCCUAACUCUCAAAAAUGAGAAUUCAUAAAGGAAAUUCUUUAAAGAACCAAAAUAAAGCAAAAGCAAACUCAAAAGUGAAGGAGCAGCGAAAGAAUUGAAAAGCCACACAAAGCAAUGCACACUAUGUGUUUGAGUAAAUUCUCUCAAAGUAUAUUUAAUAACUCUGAAUAGGAUGGGAUGGGAUGAUUACAAAUAAGGGGGAAUGUCUCUACUUAUAGUUGAGUUCCCCUAGAUCCAAUGAUACAAUUUAAAUUACACCGAUGUUUAAGAUUAAAACCUAUCUACAAUAUAAGAGUCCUAAUAGAUUUAAACUCUAUACAAUCUUAUCCUUUAUGAUUUUACAAUAUUCACCAUGGUAAUUGUAACAGCUCGAUUUUGGGUCUAGUCGGAACAGUGGUUUUUGGACCACAAAUCCGACGAGGAAAAAUGUAAUGGCCUGAAUUUUCAGAGGUGUCGAAACGGUGAUUCGAGAUCACUAAAUUCGACAAAUGGGUAGAAAAUAUUAUUAAUUUAGUGAGUAUAAGUUAAAUGUGAAGUUAGGAAAUUUUUUGAAAUAGUGAAUAGUACACUAGAAAUAAAUAUUAAAAUAAUUAGAAUCAAAAAUGAGGUAUCGAGACCUCGAGGAUUUUAAACUGAGCCAUAAAUAUUUUUAUAAAUAUUUAUGUAGUGUUAAAAAUUUAGUAUUAAAGUUUCGUUAAAAAAUUUUAAAGUUCCGAUAAUUAAUUGAACAAAAAGGACUAAAUUGUAACAAAUGCAAAAUUAUGGGAAAUGAUUAAAUAGCUUAAAUGAUAAAAGGAAGAGGGCUUAAAAGGCAAAUAGACCUAAGGCUGGACGGCAAAGGCAUGAAAUUAGCAACAAAGUAAGGAGAAUUAAGGGAAAAAUUGGAAUAUUGCAAAAUUUACUUAAUAAAGUUAGGACCAAAGUGGAAUUAUCUAGAUUUCUCUUUAUUUUUCUGCAUUCUCAUCAGAAAAAACACCAUAGAAGGGUUUCCUUAAGCUGGUUCUUCCUAUUUUUACUGCAGGUAAGUUCAAUUCUUGAUUAUUUCUUGAAAAUUUUGUGUUUUUGUGACUUUUACAACUAGGCCCAGUUAUUGUAUUCAUUAGUUUUUGAUUCUAUGAAAGAAGUUGAAAGUUGCUAUAAAUACAUGCUGGAAGUAUAUGAUGAUUUAGCAUGGAAUUAGAGCUUUAAAUUGUUCAUAUGCUGAUUUUAUUGAAAGAAUUGAAUAGAAAGUGAAUGUUUGGGACCUAAUAGUAAAAGAGUUUGAAGAUAGAGUUAUAUGUGGAAAUUCUGAAUUUCAAUAGUUGUGAAACAACUUAUAAUGUCUAGGUAAAGUAUUAAUUGAGAAAAUUAAAUUAAUUAAGGGGUUAAUUGAUAAAGGACCGAAUUGUAUAAACUGUGAAAUUUGGGGCAAAAGGAAAUCAACAUUUUGCACUAAAGCAAUUUUGGACAGCAGCAGUAGUAUAACUUUGAAAAAUCACCAAAAAUUUUGGGAAUUGAAUUAGAGGGUGAAUAAAAUAUGAAAUUAAAGUUCAUUGAGUCUAGUUUCUCAUAGAAGAAACAGUGUAAGCAAUGGAAUUGUAAAUCAUGAGAUAUAAUAAAUUUUGUGAGACAAUGUCAGAAUGAUUUCGGGUUCCCUAUUCUGACUUUGGAAAAUCAUCAAAAAUUGAAUAAAAAUAAUUAUGAGUUAUAAUUUAUAUGAUUAGAAUCCUUAAUGAGUCUAUUUUCAAAAAAAAUAAACGGAAACAUCAUCCGAAUUCUGUACAAUUAGAUAAUUCAUUUUUAGUGAAGAGUGGUCGGAACUGUCAGACAGCGAAACAGGGGAAACUUUAAAUAAUAAACUGUACUAUUUGGCUGAAUCAAAAAUUCUGAAAAUUUUCUGGUAAGAAGGUAUGUGAGUCUAGUAAUUUUCAGGGAAAAUUAACGGAUCUUAAUUUUGAGCUCUGUAGCUUCGGAUAAAAAUAAUUUAGUGACUCUAACUCGGAUAAACAGCUUUGAAUAUACAUGUGAGUGAAUAGUGAAAUUAUAGCUAGUGUUGUUUAAGUGUGUUAUACACAUUAAGAAUGUGGAAUGGAGAGGAGGAGGAGGAGGAAAAAUUGGGAAAUAUAUGAAUGAUUUGUGUAUAAUUGGUCAUAUGCUUAAUUAUAAUUGAUAAACGAUGAAAUAGAAAUGAUGCAUAUAUUUGUGCAGUAUUGGUCAUGGUUUAAGCUCAUGUGGGAAAAUAAAGUUUAUAGUACGUGUGUAUUGUAUUUUUGGUAUAUGAUUUGGCAUGAAGUAAUGUCGUGAAUGGGUAUUGAAUUAACACAUGUUGGAAAGUUUGAUUUAUGAAUAAAUAUUGUGAUCAUGAAAGGGGUGGUAAGGUUUAAAUUAUGAAAUCUUUAGUGAAAUGGUUUAUUAUGUGAUUAUUUCCAAAAAGAAUUAUGUUUCAAUGUACUAGUUUGCGACUAUGGUUGAAUGAUAUGUUUAUAUCUUGUGUGAUGUGAAUAGGAAACGAGUGUGGAAAGGUAAUGAAAUAGUAAGUUCAUAUGGUUGAAAAUUAAUGAUUAAAUGUUAAUUUCAUGAAUUAUAUAAUGUAUGAUGAGAUAUAUUUAUUUUUGAAAUGAGAAUAAAAUAAAAAUGCGAAAACCGAAUAAAUGAUCAAAUUGAGCGGAACGCCAGAUUUGAGUACUUCUGAUCAGUGACAAAGUGAUAAGUGGUAGCUUUAGCUACACUUAUCUGAUCAAGAGACAAAGUGAUAAGUGGUAGCUUUAGCUACACUUAUCUGAUCAAGUGACAAAGUGAUAAGUGGUAGCUUUAAGUGGUAGCUUUAGCUACACUUAUCUGAUCAAAUGACAAAGUGAUAAGUGGUAGCUUUAGCUACACUUAUCUGAUCAAGUGACAAAGUGAUAAGUGGUAGCUUUAGCUACACUUAUCUGAUCAAGUGACAAAGUGAUAAGUGGUAGCCUAGCUACACUUAUCUGAUCAGGGACAAGUGAUAAGUGGUCAUACAUAAGACCGUAGUUAUACUAUGGCAAAGUGGAAGUGAAGUACUCAAUUUUCCAUAACCGUUCCCUAAUUUGAUAUGGAUGGUAAGUGACAAAUGGGCCCAAAAGAAUUAAAGUAAAUGGUUAAGUGGUAGUGUAUUUAUACCAGGAUGAUGUUGUUAUUUUAAAGUGACAUUUUCAUUGCAAAAUUGAGAAUUUCAUAAAUGUGUUAUUGAAUGGUAUAAUCGAUAAACGUUGAGUUAAAUGGUAAGUAUGUAUUAGUGUUGAACUUAAUGUCAUUGAGUUGUACGUGAAUUAAAUGGAAAUUGCUAGUGAUAUGAUUUAAAUUGUGAGCAUGAGAAAUUGUGAAUUGAAUUGAAUGGAAAUGAAGCAUUGAAUUGCAUGAGUAUGUAUCGGGUCUCAUAGGCCCUAAUUAUUAUGAUUAUAAUAUUUUGAGGAUAUAUUGUGAAAAGUUAUAGAAGCAUGUUAAUUAUUUUGAAAGUUUUAAUUUAGAUGAAAUUUUAUAACUCGGUUAAAUACAUUUACAAGUGUAUGUGUUUUAGUAAUGCCUCGUACCCUAUUCCGGUGUUGGAUACGGGUAAGGGGUGUUACAGUAACUCUAAUUUUAUUGGAGUGUUCCAUUGGGCCACCAAGACUUCAAAUAGAUGAACUUCUCCAUAUGUUCCACGAGUCGGGCCAGUUCAAGUGAGUCAAAUGAGCCUCAUUUAAUUAGUUGACCUUCAUGAGAUGCUCUAUGUGCAUUCGUUAUGGGCUUUGAUCUGCUACCUGUGACACUAGCAUCUCAUUCCUUCUAUGCCUUCUUAAAGUGAUGUGAUAUGUGUUGAUGCUCAUUGAUCUUAUUAGCAUUAUUUCUUUAUCUUUGUCUUUCACUUUAGUGAAGUCCCAACUAGCAUAUGCUUUUUUUAUUUGUUUAAUGUAUUCCUCUGCUUCCUAGAUUAUUGUGAAAGGGUUUGGAUUGACUCGUUCAUAAUGAAAUACCCAAUUUUAGUCUGGGCUCACAAAAAAAUAAUAAACCCAAAAUAAUAAAACAAAGUCUAAGUCCAGUACAAAAUUAUAUCAUUUGGCCCGAUCGGAAUGGCCCAUUACUUGAAAAGGUUGAAGGUCCAUCUACAAGCUUAUGGAAACAUAAUCUUCAAGGAUAUUCAAUCUUAGAUAUGAUAUGCAAUCUUAGAUAUGAUAUAUGCAAUCUUAGAAGAUAUGAUUUUGUAAUAUUAGAGAUUUAAUUUGUAGAUACUCUUUAAUCUUAGCCUUUGAUGUAAUUGAUCUGUACCGUUGGAUUUGGGGAGGCUCAACUAUAAAUAGAGGUCUCUCCCUUCAUUGUAGAGGACUGGAGUUGGGAGUAAUAAUAAUUCUUAAGAGUAUUCACUCAAAUCUCUCUCUCUCUUACGUUCUUAUUUUCUUUGGCUUGUUCUUAUUUUGUUGAUUUAUGUAUAAUUUAUUUAUUGAUUUGUAUAUUAUUGAUUUCAAAUCUCUUUUUCCCUUUUUAUUCAUUUUCAAAUUCAUUAUUUUCAAAUUUUUUUACAUUUUAUUUUGCCUUAUAUUUUUUUAUACUCUUUGUUUUAAAUUUAUUGGUCUUUUAUUAUUGAUGCUAUUUAAUCCUCUAUUUGUUAUUUUAGUUUUUUUAUUAAAUUAAUUAUUUUAAUAUUAUUAAUACUAUUAUGUGACAUCAUUAAUCUUGUAUCAUUAUUAUUUACUUUUUUAUGCCUCUAAAUUUCAAAUUUUGUUAUAUAUAUGUAUGUAUACAUACAUACGUUUUAUAAUAUAUACAUAUACGUACACAUUUUUUUAUUUUUUAUAAAUAUAUAUACACAUACUUUUAUAUAUUUUCUAUGUUUCAUAAUUUUAUAUACAUACUUUUUUUACAUAUUAAAAUAUGUACAUAUAUAUUUUUAUAUUUUAUAAUUUUUAGCCAAAUUCGUAUAAAGAGAAUUUUGAAAAAUAAAGACAAUACUCGGUAUUUGGAAUCUUCGAGAGGAUUGAGCCCUAACGUAUUGGGUUCCAACUCUUUCGUUGAAUCUGAAUAAUCGAGAAUGCUCUUUAAUCAAAACAUAAAUAAAAAGCUCAUUAUCGAGAAUUAAAUACGUUGUGUCCUAACGCAUUGGAUAUGACACGUUGUUUUCUCGAUAUGAGGAUUUUUUCUAAAAAUAAUAAAGGUAAUAUUCAAUGUUUAGAAUUUUGAGAAAUUGUGCCCUAACGUAUUGGGCUGCGAUUUUUUCAUCUGACUUAAACAAUUGAAUAUCCUUGUAAAUUUUAUUGCACGAGUUUUUUUUGGACAAGCUCGUUUUUGAGGAAGUGAAAUAUCAUGCCCUAACUCAUUGGGUGUGACAUUUUCUCUUUUCGAAAUGAGAUGGUCUUAUCGAGUAACUUGUUUUAUAUAAGUUUUUAAAAAAAAACAAAAGAUCGUAUUUUAAAUCUAUUCAAAGUUUUCAAUUUUCGACAUUAAGACAUUAAUUAAUUAACUAGGUACCAAUUUUUGGACGUUAUGAGGGUGUUAAUCCUUCCUCGUACGUAACCGACUCCCGAACCCGUUUUUCUGAAUUUCAUGGACCAAAAUUGUUGUUUUAAUAAAGUCAAAUUGCUUAUUAAAAAUAACCACUUUUUGAGGUGACCCGAUCACACCUAAAUAAAAAAGAUCGGUGGCGACUCCCAUUUUCAUUUUUUUAAAAAAUCCAAGUCGACCCCAUUUUUCAAAAUAAAAAUGGUGUCAACACAUAAAUUACUUUGUUUCUUUGCACCCUAUUUUCCAUAAUAUAAGUUGCCAACCCUAUAAGCUCAUUUGACACAAAUUAUUUGCCUCAUAGUGUAAGUUUCAUGAUUUGUAGGAUCCAUUCUUUCACUUAGCUUAUAAUGAUUUCCCCGGUGCGAAUCUUGUAUUGUGAGCCAAACCACACUAUUUCGACAAAAUUACAUUCUCCAAAAAGAUGUUUUCCAUCCUCUUCAAUUUUAACAUUAAAAUAAAUAAUUUGUAAGAAUUUAUUAAUAUUAUUAUUUAAAUUAUAAUAUAUUAAUAUUAACAUUCAAAUCAUGAUGAAUUUUUAUAUUAUUUUAAUAUUAAUUUUUUUAAAAUUAAAUAACAUUAAUGUAACUAAUUCUAAAUUAAUUAAAUAUUUUUUAAAAUAUUUAUAAUUACAUUAUUUUUAAAUUUAUUAAAUAUUUUUUUGAAGAAAUUCAUUAAAAAUUAAAAAAAACCUAAUAUUAUAAAAAAGAAAAAAAGUGCAUUGUAUAUGAAUACAAACUAGUUUUGACUUUAAAUAAGGAACUCUACACCAAAAGGAACGACCAAGAAUCAGCAAACGGAGAGAAAUUUCCAAAACUUCCAAGUCCUCGAACGGAGAAAAUAAGUGCAGCUUUAAAAUUGAACCAAAGCUGUCUGCUCACGUGGAGCAGUUGACAUUUAUGUGUUUGUGGGAUUAAUUGCUUGCAAGGUUCAUCUAUGUUUGGCAUGUUUACAAUCAGGUCUUUUUCUUCGUUUAGCACUUUUUUUUUUUAAAUCUAGUUUCAAAUUUAAUUAAUUUUGUUUAUCUGGUUUCUGCUUCAUUAUUCAAUUUUUUAUUUAUUUCAUUCUUGGUUAAUUAUUUUUUCUUGAUGAAAUUUAUAUGUUACAGGGAUUAUUAAUUGUUCAUUACUGCCCAAGCAUAUUUAGCGUUGUUUUUUUAUUUCAUAUUUGGUUUUGAACCUUGUUUAAUAUCUAUGUUAAUCUUUUGUUUGAUUUCUUAAUUGAAGUCAUUAAUUUAUGAAACUUUGGUUAAAUAACUUAGAAAGCCCUAAUAAAAAUGUCAUAUAGUUUCUUUGCAAUACUGAACUUCCAAACCAAACCCAGUAUAUCAAAUCUAUUUUUCUGGCUAACCACGAUAGUCUUAAAUUGGUCACCGGUGAUUCAGACUUGGACGUGAGGAUAUAAAAUUUUAAGCUUAUUUUUUAAGUUUAGGUUCAGCUCAGCUCGAAAAAUAGACCUAAAAGUUCACUCAAACUUGACUCAAAUUAAAAAUGCUAAAAUUGAGUCUUACCCGCCUGUAUUAAUUUUUUUUAGAUUAUUUUUUAUAUAAAAUAAAUUUUAAAAAUAUAAUACGUUAAAUACACUAAAAAUAUUAAAAUAAAUAUUUCUCAAUAAAUUAAAAAUAUAUUUAAAAAAAUUUAUAUUUAAAUAACAUUAAAAUAAUUAUAACUUAACAAACAAAUACCUUAAAAUAAUAACAAAAUUAACAAUAAAUCCAAAUAAUGAUAACAAAAUAAUAGUAAUAUAAUAAUAAAAUAGUAGUAAAACAAACAACGAAUCAAAAAUAAAAUAGCUGAUUCAAGGCACGGACCAAAAAAUUCUACUUGAGACCUAGCCCAUUUAAGCCAUUUUUGAACUUAUAUUUUUUUCUAAAUUUUUUCUCUUUUUGAACUCUAAUCCUAACGUUACUUAUAUUUUCAUAUCUAACUUGUUAGGAACUUUUUCAAAUCGUGAUGACAAUUACAAUAAUUGUCUAAUCUUACUGCACAUAUGAAAUCAUAAAGAAUUACAACAAAAUCCUAAAAUCCAAAUUUUAGUUUUUGCCCUGAAUUACUAGCUUAAUGGAAGGCCAAAUCAUUUGUGCAAAAACAAUAUAAUGAAACACGGAAAAGCAAAGCCCAUUAUGAACCAAAGUCUUAAAUGAUCCGACCCACACCACAAGCCGACCCGAAAUAUAAUUUUCCCUUUUUUGGGUAUGUUUUUUUUCUAUUCCUUCGGUCGAUUGAGCUGACGGCUUUUCUUUGUUUUCCCCUUCAGAAUUCAUAUAGAUACAGAGAACCAAAGUUGAAAAAAAAAAACAUACACAUCUAAAUCUUUAAGGCUUCAGCUUCUCUUUCUCUGUUUCGACUCUGUGGAGUAAAUUUGGGAUCGAUGGCGGCCUUGCAAUACCUAGACUCUCUUCGAAAUGAGCAUCCAGAGCUAGCCGACUGGUAUAAUUCUCUUGCAGAUCUGUAUCAAAAGAAGCUCUGGCAUCAGCUCACUCUCAAGCUUGAGCAGUUCGUUGCUCUCACCGUCUUCCAGGUCUCUCUCUCUCUCUCUCUAUAUAUAUUCCGUGUUGUUUGGGUUUAGAGUUCGUAGAUCUCUUUUAUAUUAUGGUUUUAAGAAUUUAGGAGUUAGGGUUUUUGAAUGGAGCUGGUUACUUUUUUCUUUUCUUUUUGUUUUUUCCCUAGGGGUUUAUAGUAGAAUUUGGAUCUCAUUGUCGAGGAUUUAUUAGGGUUUUUAAUACUACUCUUACCUUUUUGUUUUUAUUUUACUUUUUACUAUUUAGUCUUAAAUUUGAAACGAAAUAAAUAAGAAUUGUUUAUACUUUAUUGCUUUGAUGUUCAACAACUCGGAGCUUAUUAAAGAAACUAUACUCACUUGGGUUUUGCCUUUAAUUUUUUUUAUUGUAAUGUUUUUGCAUAGAAUUGUUGCUAACUUGUAGUAAAAAAAGAAUUAGUGGAAAUCUUCAGUUUUGCAUGAAUUGUAUGCUGGAUAAAGUACAUGAAUAACAAUAAUUAGCAUCUAAAGCUCUGGCAUGUUUAUUUUAGGGAAAAAUUCUUCUCUGAAUUGUAGAAAUUUGAAGUGUGGUGAUGUUAUGUAACUUAGGGAUGGCAAUGGAUAAUGCGGAUUGGGAUAUUUGUGGACAUCCAACUUGCUUUUUAUAGAUUCAAAUUUUGUGGAUUCUGAUAAUAUUCAGAUUCAGAAAUUCUAAUUACUAUCCAGCUAUUCAAAGCUGAUGCAGAUUUUAACAUUCGGUAUUCAUUAUCCGAAUCCACUUUACUUUCACUGGUAAUGGAUGUGGAUUUGGAUAAUAGGUAUGCGAAUUCACUUUACGUAUAUGAAUAACGAUUCGGAUAUCCAAAUCCAUUAUCCUUUUUACUUUUUGAAAUUUUUAUUUAAAAAACAUUUUUGUACUUAUUUAGCCAAGUCUGUUAUUUGACUAAUAAUUUAAUUAAUUUGAUUUCAGAUUUGGAUAGUAAUACUCAUAUUUAAGCUGCUUAUAAUGAUUUGGAUUUUAAAGCAGAUUUGCGGACUCGAAUCCAAAUUUUGCUGAAAUUACAGAUAUCUAACCCGUUGCCAUCCCUAGUUAUGUUCCUUUACACCUCUUGUUUUCGUAGAGUACAUCUGGAAAUUUCAGUUGUGGUUUCCUACUGCUCUCGUGUCCCUCAGUGAAUAAUGCAUGGAUAACUAAUCUGAAGUGUGGUUUACUUGAUCAUUUUCAUUUACAAGAAACUCGGCUUUCUAUUUGUUUUAGUGAUUCAUAUGUACGUAAAUAAUAUGGUAGCAAAUGAACUAAUUGCACCCCAUGUGCUAGAUAUUGGCUAGGUCAUCUAACUUCCUAUGGCACUUGUUUCUCGCAAAUUUCAGGCUGGAGAUGCAUUGAUAAAGUUGUAUCGUAACUUUAUCACUGACUUUGAGACGAAGAUUAAUCCUCUCAAGCUUGCACAUUUCGCUGUUAUAGUUUCUCAGCAGUACGCAGAGAAAGAGGCUGCUAUUAGUUUCCUUGAAGGGGUGAUUGAAAAGCUUCAGGCUACUAAGGAGCAGCGCAUAGAAGAGCCAAUUCUUUAUAUUAAGAUGCAAAUUUCCAAAUUCAAGCUUGAGCAAGGUGAUCAAAAGGAGUGCAAGAAACUUCUUGAAGAUGGGAAGAGUACCCUUGACGGUAUGACUGACAUAGAUCCAUCUGUAUAUGCUACCUAUUACUGGGUUUCAUCUCAAUACCAUAAAUUUCGCCAAGAAUUUGCUGAGUUCUACAGAAGUGCUCUCCUUUAUCUUGCAUACACAUCAGUGGAGUCUCUCUCAGAAUCUUUUAAGCUGGUAUGUUUCUAUGUGUUCUCUGCCAGUCCAAUAGUACUGCCUUGUGAUAUUAUUGGAGCUCAUUAAGUUUACUCUUUUUUCUGUUUUUUAAUAUAUUUUAGGCUGUGUAGAGUUGAAUAUGGUUAUUGGAAGUCUAACACUGUACCAACAAGCCAUUUUACUCAUAUCAAGCUUUUUUGUUAAAAGUUCUUGUUAUUCAGAGUCCCCCUGCUUUUUUUUUCUUGUAAUUAUCAUUUUAUCAACCUAUUCAUCUAACAGCAGUGCCUCCGAAGUCUGAUGGCUGAUGUGCUUAAAUAUUCUGUUUUCCAGCCCCUUACACCCCAGUCAUAAUAUUGAUGGAAAUAAAUGAACUAAAGAAAUUGCUAGGAAUAUAUUUGUCCAUUGACUUCAUUUCAUUUAAUUUUAUUUGAACUCUUUUGAUUUAGGAUUUGGCAUUUGAUCUGUCCCUUUCUGCUCUUUUGGGAGAUAACAUCUACAACUUUGGAGAACUCCUUGCUCAUCCAAUUGUAAGCACAUAUUUAUCAAGUUUCUUAAAUUCACUAUAUAUUGCAACUGGUCCAAUUGUUAUGGAGAUGAUCGAUGCAGUCUUGAUUAAGAAAAUGUGCUUUUAAUUGCACAAAGAUAAGGUUCAUAGGCCUCGUUUAUGAUACUCAUGUUAAUGUAUGUGGAGGUUUAAUGACUGAAAAGUGCCUGCUAUUAAGAGCCUCUUUUCGUUUUGCAUUUCUUUUCAUGCUAUUGCAAUUGCAUGAAUACAUUCUUAUUUUUCAUUGUGUUGGAUUGAUUUAAAAGGGAGUUUGUGUGUUGUAGUUUUUUUUCUUUUUCUUUUUUUCCCUUCUGAAUUUCUUUGCUUUGAUGUUUUUAUUUUGUUAUGUUUGAGAUGAUGACUGUUGGCAUCAUUUACAGAUAAAGAGUCUUCUGGGGACCAAGGUGGAGUGGCUUUAUUAUAUCCUCCAAUCCUUCAACUCUGGGAAUUUGGUUCGCUAUGAAGAAUUGUGUCGCGUGCACAAUGCUGCACUGAGUGCUCAACCAGCCUUGGUUGAGAAUGAGAAGAAGCUCUUGGAAAAAAUUAAUAUUCUAUGCUUAAUGGAGAUUAUCUUCAGGUGUGUAUUGUUUUAGUGUACCCUAAGAGAUCAGGUCAAAGUUGUUGAUAAUUAUAUGUGGUUAAAAACUAAAGUACAAUAUGUUUCAAUGCAGCCGCCCUUCUGAUGAUCGAACUAUUCCUUUAAAAGUUAUUGCUGAGAGAACAAAAUUGUCAAUUGAGGAUGUUGAGUAUCUUCUCAUGAAGAGCCUGUCUGUAAGUUAAAAUAUUCAUAAUAUUGUUGUCAUCUUUAUUUUUACACGUAUUCAUUUUCCUUUAUCUUCAGUUUUUUUCAUGACACCUUAAUAGGGAAUGCAAACUAUAAGGGGACACAAUAAAUUUUGGAUAUUAGCCAAGGAAAAUACAAAUUAUCAUGAAUAGUGAACAUUUGUGGAAGUCCAAGUCUCAAUUUUUCAUAUGGACGAUGCAUCAUUGUAUACAUUUGAUUCGAAGCCUGCAUGUAGCAACUAGCUAUACUUCAGAGGGUUCAAAAUUCUAAAGAUAACUUGUAUAACCUUUUUGCGAAUAAUGACUGCAGGUUCGUCUGAUUGAGGGCAUAAUUGAUCAAGUUGAGGGAACAAUUCAUGUCUCUUGGGUGCAGCCAAGAGUUUUGGGGAUUCCACAGAUCAAAUCCUUGCGUGACCGGUUGGAUAAUUGGAUGGGCAAAGUACAUAACGCUUGGUUAUCAAUUGAGGCUGAAACACCUGAUCUUGUUGCAUCAUGAAUUUUUUUCUCCAGUUCCUUUCUGCCAUUGUAACAAUUUCGUUAUUUGAAAAGGGCAAGAAAAAGGGAAAGUGAAAUGAUGAGCAAUGAGGAUAGAGAUAAGCGUUAGUCAUUUGCGGGUAGAGCUAUCUUUGUAUGAUUCCUUUAGUAGGUAUUGCUUGAUCCUUAAAUCUUUGUUCUGAAAGGAGCGGCUCAUGUACUAAACUUUUCACUUUUUGGCAUUUGUUGGAUCUACAAUGGCACUGGAAUGCCUGAGGAUACGGUUAAAACCGCAAACAUCAUCCUUAUCUUUCAUUUUGUAUUGGGAUUAUUCAUUAGUUGGGAUUAUUCAUUAGAUACAAUCAGAUAUGAUCCACUUUUAUGUGGAUGAAAGUGCAUUUUCAUUUCAGAUUAGAUAUUUUUCUGCAUGAUCUAUAUAUUGUUUGGCUUCAGUGCGGUACUAGACGAGCUGCUGCUACUUAGUUAUUUAACUACAAAUAUGUUGAUUAGGUUUUACCAUUUACCUGUGAUGUGAAUGAAUCUUAUAGGAUGAUUGCCAAUCUUGAACAAUUAAACUAUUUGAUUGAUAUACCACCAGGUUGGGUUUUUAUACUAUAGGUAACGGUGUAUGAUUCCAUACUCGUAAAUGAGAAAACAUAAGCUGCAUAUUUCUUCAAAAUAAGCCCCAUCUUUAAUCUCAUAGUUUGCUAGUUUUACAUAAUUCUGAAUCACAUGGAACACUUAAUACCUCAGCAUUACAAAGCAGUAAUGAAUCAUGCAUAACAAAGAAUCAAGCCUAACAUGACCAAUAUCAUUGAAUUGAUAUUCUGGGAAAAUGAAAUACAUAGCUAGCACAAUGCUCCCGCAGCUUUCUUUACAUUUUAAGAAUACAAGCAAAUUCCAAAUGCACAGUCAUUCUUGCCGCACAAACGGCGUGGAACUAACAUCUGUGCUGUAAAAUGAGUCUUCUCCUCCAUAGUAGUUUUCAUCUUUCUCUUCUUCCCAUUUGAGAACCUCUCUUGUAUAUUUAAAUGCUUCAUCAACGGUCACCCGAUGGUCCCUUGCCCUAGCUUGUGACACAAAAAGUUUCCGUCCUGUAAGGGAAGCAUAAAGAUCCUUGAACUUCAUCGCAACGUAAAAGUAAGCCUGUUGAGCCAGAGACUGGUGACUAUGGACUGGUCUCACUGAACUGAAAUCAAUGAACCAUUCACAAGUGCUUAAAGGCACCCAAUUCACUUUGUCCUCAAAGAGAUCAUACUUGUUUAGUAUCAACACAAACGGCGCAUCCUUAAAGCAAGGGUGCCUUAUCAUUGUUUCAAAUAACUCCUUGGUCUGCAUCAUCUUAUUUUGAAAUAGCGGUCCACUGCCACUGCUCUCUGGUGCUACCGACAUCAGAUCAUAAUCACUGAGGGCCGCGCAGAAGACUACAACUCGUACAUCUUCAAACAUUUCCACCCACUUGCAUCCUUCAUUAAUCCCCUUUGCAUUUACCCUUAUGAGUUGAUACCUAUAAAAGCAAAAAGGCUAAAUUAGCUUUACUGAUUCAAGAUCAAAUCUCAUAGUCAUAUGCCUUGGGGUUGAAGUACGUAAGAGCGGAUACUGCGGAUACUGGGGAAUAAAAAAAGGACGGGAAUUGAAUGCAUUUUCUUUAAUGAUUUUUCAUAUGAACAAUACGAUAAAGAAAUUAUUGCAAACAUUGGUGCAGUAACUCUAUGUGAUGCAAUUGCUUGCAUCUAUGGAACAUUAUUGAGGAAAUCUUUCAUAAGGCAACAACAGAAUGUCAGGAAAGAAUUACUUGGUUAAUGGCUGUGAGGGAGCUUCCAAAUUGUCUGUGUAGGUUUCAGAAAUUGGACUACGAUCAUCGAGCAAAAACUCUAUGAAAGCCAAGCCAUUCCCUUGGGUGACCCCUUCAGCAUAAAGAAUGUCACGAUCAGUAGGUUCAUAUUCGUUGCUCGACACCUCUACAGCCUGAAGGAAACAAAAGCAUAUCACGUGUUACGGAUGGAAAAAAUCAAUAGAAUCAACGCAAGACUCAAGUAUGCAAUCAAGAUCUCACAAAUUAAGGCAGCAAUAUAAAAUAAUAUCAGUUAACUAUUCUAUAAAUAUUCUAGUCUUAUUUAUGUCUUUUAGUCAAGUCCUAUAACAAAGGGAUUAGAAUCCUUAUCAUGUACUACCUAAAUUAGUCAGCCUAACCUUGUUAUUUAAACAACAAAUGGAAUGAAAGAGCAAGCAGAAAACAAUUCAACUUUGAGAUAGGCAAAUAUCUCUCUUUAAGCUCCAAGAUUGGUAGCCCUUUUUGGAGAGCUCCACCCUUUCUUUCACAAUUCUCUCACCAUUGGUUCUCAUGGAAGACCCUAGCCAAAUCGUCCCGUGACUAGAUCCCUAUCUAAGGCUUGCAACACAAGAUGUUGCUGUAAUUUGAGUUCAUUUAUUUCUUGCCUUUUUUUUUUUUUGGGGGGGGGGAAUCUUCUUCAAGAUGAAUAACUUGACAUAUCAACAGCCAUCUAAAUUUUGGCAAUGAUUAGGCCAACAUCAAACAUAAAAAUAAGUUGACAUACCCUGCUUAAGAAGUACUCCGCAACAUCAGGAAGAAAGUGAAGCUCAUCUUUUCUUCUAUAAGUGUGCUGUAUAGCUGGAUCUUUCCACAACUCCUCAACUAAUGGUGCAUACUCACGCGUUGCUGCAGGGAAAAAUGCAUCCAAAUCACCAGUGGCUAUAAUAUCCAGAAGCCAGUCAGCAAAAUGCUUUAGCCUUGGGUUGAUAGAAUAGACACACUGGUUAGUUUCACCAGACUCGACCUCCCCACCUAACACAAGAUUCAAAUAUUGAUUACAUGUUGAAAGAGUUGCAAUGAUGCUAAUUAGUUUUUAGGCCAGCUUGGAGAGACAUUAGAAGCACCAUCAUGUAUAAAGCUUCUAUAAACAAGCAAUGAAACACAUCUAAGAAACAAGUCCAUGUUCUACUUUAAAAGCUCAAAACUAGUUCAAAAGCAGACAAGAUUUUGGUGUUGGCAAACAUUACCAGCAUCAAAGUUCUGAUCAUUGGCAGCUAGUUCUGGCAUUCCAGACAUUGCUUCCUCCUCAAACCGCUCCCGCCCAUCUAAUAAUAUACUAAGAUACCUGUACAUGUUACUCUGGAUCAUCAACUUCAGAUCCUGCAGUUCUUCUGCAGAAAACCCAUUUCCAUACAAAAACUUUGCCUGUUCAAUAAUGCAUAGUGAACAUUAGAUAAAAUGGCAUCAACAACAUUUUUAGACUGUAAAAACCUAGCUGUUUGUGCUGAAUUGGGUAGAUAACAUAGCUCUAGAUGAUCCUAGCAACUGAAUUUAUCAUUAAGCACAAUGGGAAAUUAGCCACAUCUUAAUCAUGUAUACACCAUAUACCAAUUGUUUCUAAACCAAGAAAGCAUAAAGAAAAGCAGAAUUCAGAUAAGUUGACUAAUAUGAUCCCCACUACACAGUCAGCCAAUGCCAUUGAAAGCAUUGUAGAGGUUAAACUAUAUGCCAAUCCACGAUUUAAAUUUUCCUAAUCAUCUUAAUUAUUCCUCAUCUACUAAUAGAUUGGAAUGACAGACAUUCUUCAUGCUCAAGCAAGAUAAUCUAGCUAACUUCCUUGUAGGUGUAAAUUUCUGAAGUGGCUUUACUUUCAUUUCCAAUACCACUUAAAGCAAUUGGCAUAGCAACACAAAGCAUAAUUGUUAAAAGAAAAUAGUACAUUAGCAACAAGAAAAUUCCAAACCUGCUUGAAGAUGGUGCUUGUUCCAGAGCCUUGAAGCCCAAGUAAAAGAAGCUUCUGGGUUCGUUUUUGCUCUAGGUAAUUUGGAACAGUACUAUAAUUGCUGGCCUCCUCCCUCACUCCUUGAGGUUGACCAUGGGGCACAGGCAAAGAAAACAAGGUACAGACAAAACGAGUUGUUGCCUGUCUCAUAAAAACCAAAACCCACAUCACAUUACAUAUAAUAUCCAUGAUACAAUUCAGGCUAUUAGAAGUUCAUGUACCUUCUCCCAGAUGUUUCCUCUAAUGUUAUUUUGACCUUCUUCCUCAUAACGACCAUCAUCAUAGACCCAAAAAUGAGUGUCACGUGGACACUGCACAUUUGCCAACUGAACACAACAAAAGGAUACAUCAAUUAUUAUUUAUUUGUUUAUUUAUUUCAGCCCGAAUGGAAGGAUACAUCAUGAUUAGUUAUACAAUAUGAAAACAUGCAUUCGAUAAAUAGUUUAUUCCCAUUCACAUUCUUAUCAAAUGCUGAGGUUAAACAUAUAUUAGGAUGUCUAAAAGAAAGGCAUAAUGCAGAAAACUAAGGUGUUAAAAGAGUUUUGUAAAAGGAAUCUGUUUCUUCUAACUGGUUAUGAUAUAAAGUAUAAAAGGAGGAGACAACAUAGCACCACAAGAACAUGAGAUUAAGAGUCCUAAAUGUAUGGAAUCAAGCAGAAAAGAAAAACAAUGAUCAAGAGCAACAAAUAAUAGAUCCCAUAUUAACUUUUAUUGUUGUUACCUUUAGCACCCUCAAUUCAAGUUUUGUAAUCUCCCUUCCAUUCAUAUAGACUUCAGUAUGGCCAUUGCUUGCAUCAUGAUUAAGCUUGCCAGUGAAAUUUAGGUUUGAACUAAUGAUGCGAUCAGGUUUUUCUCCUUCCUGCCAAUUCAAUAAGAAAAGAUAGUCGAAUCAAGUCCUCAUAUUCUAGAUGUUCCUCUGCUUGCUUCUUCAAAUAGAAAAGCCAAGUGAAACAUAAAAUAGCAUAUCAUAUUAACUUACCUUUCCCCAUAGACCAGAUUCCUUGUCAUACCAAUAUCUUCCAGGCUUCAACUUCCUAGGAGGUAAAGGGCAUCCGAGUAAUUCAGCCAUCUCUUCAGGCUUCAGUGGAUAUCCAUUCACAAUUAGCUGCUCCGGCCGGAGCUGAUUAGCAGAACAUUCUUUCUCUGCUUUCAUAAUCUGCUUUACCUCCAAUGGACUGAGUAGUCGAGACAAGAGCCUAGAAUGUUUACCUAAUCGUAAGCGCUUUGAUUCAUCAAUUGGCUGGCGAAUGCAUGUCACACAUUUUCGUCCUUCAGGCAUCGACCCCAUUGCCCUAAGCACACAAUUGCUGCAAUACUUAGCGUCACAAACCAGGCAAGAUUCCUUUGUUUCCCACUUUCUCUUACCGCAUCGAUAACAAACCCUUCUCUUCUUCUUCUUUUCUGUUGAAACCCCAACAUAUUCAGGAAAGACUCUCUUUACCAUAUCCAUAUCUUUCCUAUCCGACUUUUCAACAGUAUUGAAUGUAACAACUGGAACUCUCUUUCCUUCAUUAACAACUUGUUUAGGAGGAUUACUAGGAGGGUUGCCAACUGAGCCAGGUGAUGCUGAAGGAGAAACCGAAGAAAAAUCAGGAUUUUGCAGCACAGACACUAGGGACUCAGAACUUGCUGAAACCCUUGGACUCUGAGUACGUGGACUUGUGACACUGGCAAUAUGAGACACUGGCAAGGGGAUUGGCUCAAUCACCAGGGUCGCAGUAUUAGCAACUGAUCUUUGGGACUCUGACAGAGCUUCUGCAGUAGGGAUGGCAUGUGAAUUUACAUCCAGAGGCUCAACUCUAGGUACUUCAUAAGCAACUGGAGGACCUUUAUAUUCUAUUGCUAUGGAGUAAUCAAGCUCUAAUGAAUCUUCAGGGAGCGAGGCACCGGGUGGAAGCAUCUUCCCGACCAACUUUUUCCAACUCUCACCCUCCUUUUGCUCCAUUUAUUUGAAUACAAUACCGAAGUGCUAUAUGCUGGGAUAGAGCUUCAAGUUCAAAUUACAACUCCUCAAGUAUCACACAUAGUUAUCAAACUAUGCUCUAUAACAUCCAGAGACGUGCAUGAAUAAGCUCGAAUUACCUGGAAAGCAAUUGUCAGAACAGUGAGAUUUUCCGGGUCCUUUAUAAUGCAUGCUUGACAAUGAAACCAGAAAUAGUUACCAAGCAGCCAGACUUCAACAUAAAAUUGCCAUCCUAAGAAAACCUUCCAGUUUCAAAGGAUAUAUUGGAAAAGAUCAACCAUUUGACCCUAAUUAAAUGAAAUAAAAGCAAAUUCAAAUGUUCAAAAACCAAGCAUGGGAUUCAGGCAUAAUUUGAACAACAAAGUAGGCCCACACGCAUAUAGCUUAAACACCUACUCUUUUGGAAUGAAGUAACUGAAAUAAUCGGCAGUCAGCCAACAGAAAAAAUAAAGGAAAAAUCAAUUUUGUUAAGUCUACCCAAGAGAAGACUUUUACCUAUAAAUAAUAUCCUAAACCCAUAGAAGAUUGUUAAAAUUGAUAGUCAAAUGGUAAUGUAGGCUCAUGUAGAAAUUUUCAACUUUAAGAAAAAUACGAUUGAAUUCAUUUAUAGUCAAACAAUAGACAUUUCAAGCUUCAUUCAAGCUUUGAGGCUAAACAUGACUUUCCAACUAAAAAGAACAAAAUUGAAUCAGUCUACAAUGGAAAACAUUGGGAUCACAUUUUACCUACUGAAACUUCAAGAAACAUAAAAAAAAAAGGCAGUCAUACCCAUCCACACAUAGAAAAUCUUAGGGUCAAUCAAACAAAUACUAUAUACAAAACCCAAAAAAGAAAAAAAAAACCAAGAAGAUACCUGAAAGAAAAGGAAGAAAAUGAAAGUGAACCUCAGAGAGGAAAAAGAAAAGGUAGAGAAGGUCUUUGCUUUCUGCGCUUCUUCGAAUUGUUUCUUUUCUGUGCUUUGAAGAAAUCCAAGAAAAGAAAACGAAAUCCCAGACUCUGAGAGAUGGGAAAAAUAAAAAAUAAAAUCUUCAAAAAGCCUCUCUGCAAAACCAAAAAAGAGAGCCUGCACUACAACACAUCAGUCCAUUUUUUUUGUAGAGAAUGAUGAAAAUGGUGAACACUACAGACAAAGAAGAGAGAGAAAUGUGGGCCCCCAAGUUUCUUAUUUUCUUUUUUCUUUUUUGGUUUAAGAACUUCAUGAACAACAGUAGCAGCAGCAGUUGCAGGAUUGUCUGAAGGAGUGGUUUUCACUUUUUUAAUGUUUGUUGUAGUUGAGUUGAGGACUGGGUGGGGGGAUGAGCUGCCCCGAGGCCCGAGCUCUACUGAGUGUGGCCUCGUGCGUGGGUACUGUUGGCGCCUAUGGUGGUGAUGAUGUGGAACCGUACGACCAAGAUAUUUGUGUUGGAUCACGCGCCUUCUAAGGAGUGUGAUAGAUUCUCUCUUCUAUGUCUGUUUGUUUGCCUUCCUUGUUGUGGGCGUGAAAAACGCGGAGCAGGCAUCACCAGAGGCCUGAUCAUAGUACUAUGGGCCACGGCUCAUUCCCACCAGGCCAUCAUCUAUCAUAAUUUUAUAUUGGUUAAUAUAAGUUGUUAGUCCCUAUACUUUUGACGAAAUUUGAAAUUUAUCUUUAUAUUUAAAAAGUUAGAAAUUAAGUCCUUUAAUUUUUUAAUCUAAAAAUAUCAUUCCAAUCAUUAAAAUUGUAAGUAUUUUAUAUUAAAAUUUUAUUAAUUUGGCAUGCUGAUUAAACUACCCUCAUAUGAUGUAGCAUAUAUUUGACAAAAAAUAAGCAGAAAUAUUUUUUUUUAAAUUGAAAAAAUUAAAGGGAUUGAAUCUUUAUCUCUUAAAGUAUAGGGAUUAAUAGCAGAUUUUAACCUUUUAUGGUAUAUCAUAAAUUAAUGAAAUUAUUAUAAGAGAAAAAGGUGAUGAACCCUCUUUUCCCCGAAUAUUCAAUUCCCUUUUCCAGAAAUUAACGAACAAUAGAAAAAAAAUUGAAUGUUGAGAUGAGUCGAAAAUAGGGAGAUGAGAGGAGAGAAUAGCAAUUAAUGUCAAAUGGGGACCAUGGGAUGAAGGUCCCAGUCAAUAAACCAAGGUUUUUAUUAUGGUUGGUAUACCUCAGCUGCAACUAUAAUGGAUUUAGUCUUUGGGAGUUGGGACCUUAUAUAUUCACAUUCUUAAUUAAACAAUAUAUUAUAAAUUUACAUUUGAUUAUAUCUAAAUUAAUUCAUAACAUGGAUUCAAAUAAUCCUCUAAUUAUAUUUUAUCUCUCCUUCAAAUCACUCCAAAAUAGAUUAUAAAGUUAUAGAUUGCCAUUAGAAAUUAAUUACCUUUUUGAAAAUUAAAAACUAUUUUUAUAUUUUAAAAUAUUAAUUAAUUGUUGACGUGGCAAUCCACAUGGAUGUCACAUCAGCAAAGUUAACCAAUGUUAACUUUUUCGGGCAAUUUACCAAUAAAGGCCCAUUUUUUGUAAAAAAUUACCGAAAUGGGCCCUCUAUUUCAUUAUUUAUCGGAAUAGACCAUUUUCCGCGAAAUCGCGUCCACGUCAGCGCGAUGUUAGGGUACGCGUCAGGAAAUCACGUUUACGUGGACGCGAUUUUCUCUCGCGCGUGAACAGUACCCAACGGUCAAAAAUUUGACUGUUGUCCCCCCCAACGGUAAAAAAAAACUAUAAAUACCCCUACCCCUUUUUAUUUUUUCACAAACAAAUCCUCUCUCAUAUUUCCUCUCAAUUCCUCUCAAUUUCUUUCCAAAAUUAUCUCAAUUUCCUUCCAAAAUUCUCUUAAUUUCCUUCCAAAAUUCUCUCAAAUCCAUAUUUGAUUUCAAUUUCCUCUCAAUUUUCUUUUUUAAAAUAAUUUUAAAUUUUUUUAUAUUUUUAUAAAUCGUAAAAAUUUGUCCGAUUUCAUCAAUGGCCGCAUCAUUGACUCGUCUUGAUAAGCAUCACAUAUCGGUGGAACAAAUGAAAAUGGUAAAUGUUAAAUUUAAUUUUUAAAUAUUAUUUAAGAAUUUUUUAUUUAUGCAUUUUUAGAUAAUUAUUAAUUUGUUAUUUGUUAUAAAAAGUGGUAGAUCGGGUAUUAGAAUGCAAUAUCCGGAAUAUGCAUGCUCCUCCAUCACCGUUGGUAGAGAACUACCUGCGGGAAGCGGGUUUCUGGCACGUGACGACGGUAGGCCGAGGAUGCAAGUUGUAUUCGAAACUGAUCAGUGCGUUCAUCGAGAGGUGGAGACCCGAGACGCACACAUUCCAUCUUCCAUGUGGAGAGUGCACUAUCACUCUAAAAGAUGUCCAUCUGCAAUUGGGAUUGCCCGUGGACGGGCACCCAGUCACCGGGUCUGCCCAAUUUAGCAAUUGGGAGGCGGUGUGCUAUGAGCUUUUGGGUGCAAUUCCGGAUAAAAUGGAGGGAGGUAAGGUCGAGAUGGGCUGGUUACGUGACACAUUUCCUGAUCCGAAUGAAGAUUCAACCGAAAUUGAAAGAAUCCGAUAUACUCGGGCAUACAUUCUUCAAAUAAUUAGAGGUUAUCUGAUGUCUGACACGUCACGGAGCUGCGUACAUCUAAGAUGGCUACUGAAACUCGUUGAUUUUAGAGCAGCCGAUGAAUUAAGUUGGGGGUCUGUCGUCUUGGCUACAUUAUAUCGGGAGCUGUACGGGGCGACGCGACCGAGGAGAGCCAAAAUCGGAGGUUGCCUGUCACUACUGCAGUCAUGGGCACGGUUUCGCUUUCCAUUUCUACGUCCUCGGCUGAACCACCCAUAUACAUUCCCACUCAUAACGAGUUAAUUUUAUAUUACAUUUUACAAUUAUUAUGUAGAUUUUUAAAAAUAAAAGUAAGCUAAAAAUUUAUGUAAUUAGGUGGAACCAUCCGACAAGUUAUGCUCGAUUACCGUCCACUCUUGAAGAUAUACGACUUCUAUUGGACCAAUGGCCGGAAGCAGAAGUAAGUAUUAUUGCAAAUAGAUAUUUCCAUACAUUCGCUAGUCGAUUGGUAUUUAGUAUUUAAUAUUAUUAUGUAUAUAACUAAUAUUUCUAUCAUGUUCAUAUAGUUUGAAUGGACACCAUACGAGGAUCCGGCAAUUCAGGCAGUAAUUCUGGAAAAGUUCUUACAAAAUCCAAACGCCUGGCACGUGAAAGUCGUGUUGAUCAACUACACAACCGUGAAGCCGCACCAGUCAGACAGAGUGCUAUGACAGUUCGGGUGUAGACAACCGAUUCCCAUGGAUCCUAAGGAGUUUGACGAGCAACACAAAAUCGACCUUCGGUAAUUGAAUAUGGAUUGGCCGAGAUACUGGUCUGGGUACAUAGAUAUGUGGGGAGAUCGGCAUGAAUAUAUACCUACUCGGGAAGCGAUCAUCGUUCCGGAGUUAGCGUGCGUUCCAGAAUACAUGCCAUGGUUUAGGAUCCAUGGCAAGCCGUAUUUACUGACACCAGAGCGGAGGCAGUGGCAAAUACGUGUCGAAAGGGAAAGGCGCGGGCCUCUAAAUCGAGGAUGACAAGAUGACGAAGGCAGCCCUCACGAGGCCCAGAUGUUCACCUGGCGCAUCAUCAGCGGCCAUGCAAUCACCAGGCCCAACGAGAGCACCGAGUUAGUCACUCGACGCAGCAAAUCAACCGAUGAUACCUACGCAACCGCCUUUUCAAAUGAUUCCAGGUGCGUUUCCUAACCCUUAUAUGUACCAUUACCCUUAUAUGUAUCCUUUUUCGAGUCUUAUGGCAGGUUGGAGCCAAAUGCUCGUUUCAGCUCUAUUUUUUGUUAUGCCGAGUGGAUCACCGAUACAUAAGCCAGCGGCACACGAGGGAUCGCAAGGGGGCCGUCGGGGAGCUCUCCUUUUUACCAAUCCCCACCAACGUAUAAGUUUCAAACACCAUCGCCGUUCCUGAUGCAAACACCUCCACAUACACUAUUCUUUAAGGUGGAUCAUCGUCCCAAGUCCGACAACCAGAUGCCGAACCGGAAGAACCAGAAGCCCCACCGGAGGAAUAAUAACCGCCGUCGGAAGCUAGAGAAAGGAGGAAUCCAGCUCGUAACCGUCGACGGCCGCCAUGUGGCACUGAAUCCCCCGGGCAUAGACAUUGAUUGUCGUAUUUAAAUUUAUUUGUACAAAUAUUUUGAAUAUUUUGAUAUUAUUUUUAUGUAAAAAAAUAGAAAUUUUUUGAGUUAUUUUGAUAUUAUUUGAUGUAAUAAAGUAGAAGUUUAUUCCUAACCCUAACCCUAACCAAACUUUAUUAAAAACACUAACCCUAACCAAACUCAAUUAAAAACCCUACCCUAACCUAACUUAAUUAAAAACCCUAACCCUAACCUAAUUUAAUUAAAAACCCUAACCCUAACCAAACUUAAUUAAAAACCCUAACCCUAACCCUAACCAAACUCAAUUAAAAACCCUAACCCUAACCAAACUUAAUUAAAAACCCUAACCUAACUCAAUUAAAAAUCCUAACCCUAACCAAACUUAAUUAAAAACCCUAACCCUAACCUAACUCAAUUAAAAACCCUAACCCUAACCAAACUCAAUUAAAAACCCUAACCUUAGCCUAAUUUAAUUAAAAACCCUAACCCUAACCUAACUUAAUUAAAAACCCUAACCCUAACUCAAUUGAUAAUUUCACUAACCAUUAAUAAUUUUAUAUGAUUUCAUAAUUUCACUAACCAUUAAUAAUUUUAUAUAAUUUCAUAAUUUCACUAACCAUUAAUAAUUUUAUAUAAUUUGAGUCUGCACAACUUCGUUUGACUGGCUGUUUCUCGGAUAUCCAUAUUGUUACGUAUUCUAGUCGAACAAGGUCGACCCUUUGGUUUACAAAGUAAAUUUCUAUCCGAUAAUAGCUUAAAAGGAGCAAGAGAUACGGGCAGCCACUUACGUUCAUCUGGGACCGGUGGGAAAACGUGUCUCUAGACGUUGUGCAUGUUUUCUAAUUUGUACACUUUGUCCACAUAACUCAUCGGAUCCAGAAGGAGUUUCUAACAAGCUGCAAUAACAUGAGCGCAUGGAUAUCGAAGUGCAUCAAACUUCCCACAGUCUCAAGUCCUAUUCCGCAAGUGUACACGAUAUUGCCCGCCAACAACACCUUGGUGCGGUCUGUCAAACUCUAUCACGCGAAACCAUAAAUUGUCUCGAUCGUGACACACUGUGUGCAUAAUGUUUGCCAUCGCCUUAGCCUUGUUUAUUUUUUGAACUACAUUACUGCACCAUACAUGGCCUCCCUGCAUCUGGCCUGCAUAACCUGCUGCUCGCUUUGGAAAUAGCGCCGCCAAACGAAAAUAUGUUUCCCGCAGAACGGAUGUUAUCGGUAAAUGGCGCGUUCCUUUAAGAACAGAAUUUAUGCAUUCAGCCAAGUUCGACGUCAUAUGGCCAUAUCGUAGGCCGCCGUCGUAUGAUUGUGACCACUGUUUGAAACGUAUGUUACAAAGGUAGUCCGCCCCUUCUGCGUUAAUUGAACGUAAAAUUGCCAACAUCUCGUGAAAACGAUCUUUAUUUAUUUCAUACCCUGCCAAUAUAAGAUCAUAGCGAAUGAUUUAUACCACUUCUACCAAUAAAACUAAUUCAAAUUGACAAACGAAAUAACACAGAUAUAGACUAAAUACCCAUGUUGGUCACUUGUCGUCAUUCGCUCUUAGAUAGAUAUUACCUGUAGUAGUUCGAAGCAACGUGUCUUAGGCAAUAUCUAUGGUGUGUGCGCUGCCAUAAGCUUCCCUCUCGAUCAAAUGCAGCUAGAAUACCGGCGCCCCGAUCUGAAAUAACACAGAUAUCAGGUUGGGGGUAGACAUGCCUCCUUAACCUAGAGAGAAAGAAACCCAAAUUAUCAGACGACUCCCCCGGUGUUAUUGCAAAUGCAAUUGGAAAAAUUCUCCCACCGCCAUCCUGUGCUACUGCAAGCAAUAGCCGAUGAGUAUACCUACCGAACAUGAAGGUACCGUCAAUUUGUACCAACGGCUUGCAGUAUGGAAAUACAUCUCGGCAUUGCUUAAAGGUCCAAAACAGGCGUUUGAACACUUGGCAUCUACGUAGCAAUCGGCUGUUGUAGUACGCAUGUUCCGUUUCAAGGUCUGUGAUGGCACCUGAGACGUAUCUCUCUAGCACCUGACACCACUGCCAUAUUUCAUUAUAUGAGGCGUCCCACCCACUAUGCAUCUUCUCCAACGCCUUUUGCUUAACUAUCAUAGCCUUACGGUAAGAGGGCGUGUACCCCAUUUGGCUAUAGAUAUUGGCAAUUAACACCGGCACUGAAGUCCUAGGAUCUGCUUUUAUUGUGGGCAGUAUCAAGCUAGCUAACAUAGCUGAAUCCUUUUUGGGAUGAUCUUCUGAAACACCUAUAAAGGGAGUACAUUAAAUAAUAUAACAUUGCAUAAUAAAAGUAUUAUUCAGAUACCAUCAAUACUAUACCUGCAGCACAUGUAUGUGGACCUUUGUACUUUUUUAUCUCCCACAACCCUGUCCUUUUCCUUAACGAGACGUAGAUUUUCCAUGAACAUGUGUCGUCUUGCACCGCACACUUUACCUCAAACUUAUUAGAUUUUGAUUUAACGACGUGGUAGUUAACGCCAUUUUUGAUGCUAUGUUGUUUCAAAGCACCAAUAAAACUAUCCUUGUUGGUAAACUGAUUACCAACUUUAAGUUCACCGAAAUCUACCCCCGAACUUGUACGACCACGAGACCGGUGUGGUAGAUUUAGAAACUCUAAUGCAUCAUCUACAGAUAGAUCGACAUUCUGCUUGUGGGCUGGAGGUGAGUAUGCUCUGAAUCAUGAAUUUUCUUCCUCAUCUGAACUCCUUUCAGCAUCUUCAGCUUCUGUUGGAAUAGGCUCCGGUUCAGAAAAUAAGCCAACUUCUGCAUCAUCCGGCCUGGGCUCUCGAGGUGGAUCCACAUCGGAGUCUUCUUCUAACCCACAAUCAUCUGCAGCGUACGAGGUCCCCUCACCGGUUGACGUCGUAGGGAGUAUGUCAUCCCUUCUUCUGGGCAUUUCAUAACGUCCCCAAUUGGAUGUAGAUUGCCACCCACUAGAACUUGAUGCCGUUCCCCAGUACGUAUUUCUAGCAUCAAACGUCGAGCCACCAACGUACAUGUUUCAUCCACCGAUAGAGUGUCUCGUAAAGGAUGUGCAUUCGACACCGCUACCAAACAUGAGCUGUUCUGAAUUUUGUAACCCGCUAACCGAGUGUCGGCCAUGGGUCGUGUAUACAUCUCAAACAUCGGUCGCAAGUACAUCAGUUGGUGAUGUAAAUUGCACAUAUAACUCAAUAUAAGGUGCUCCACUAGCAAGAUGAGUCCGCACCAUUGCCUCCAAGCUACGAGCACCUUUUAUGUCGAACGAGUCAUAUGUCACCGGAUCAACAGAAGAACAAAAUCGAUACGUCAUGGACAGAACUUUCAUUGGCGUCGUUCCAAAAAUUUUACGCUUAAUUCUUUUACGAAGUUCUGUCAAAUCUAUAUUCUGGUUAAAAACCAGUCGCACCGUAUUCUCCGACAAAAAAAUAACACCAUUCUCGGUGUGGCAAACCUCACCAUCGUAAUAAAUAACAGCACCAAUACGUUCACUCAUAUUUGAAACUCUAACUUUCUUAUCCUCUCUAAAUUGUUUCUGCUAUGACUUAUGCAUUCUGAGAACAUUAUAUGCCUAAUUUAUAGCCUCAGCCCAAACAUUCUACUGUAGCAAAAGCGCGCCCACGAGGCCGGGAUUUCACAAAUUCUUCUCAAAUAGCAUCCUGCUAGAAGUGAUUUUAUACUAUUUGGUCAGAAAAGUCAAAAAAAAUUAUUUCUUACAUGACCUACUGUAGCAAAAGCGCGUCCACGAGGCCGCAAUUUCACAAAUUCUUCUCAAAUAGCAUCCUGCUAAAAGGGAUUUUAUACUAUUUGCUCAGAAAAGUAAAAAAAAUUAUUUCUUACAUGACCUACUGUAGCAAAAGCGCGCCCACGAGGCCGCAAUUUCACAAAUUCUUCUCAAAUAGCAAUCCUGCUAAAAGCGAUUUUAUACUAUUUGUUCAGAAACAUCAACCCAAAAUUAUUUCUUCCAGGACCUAAAAACCCUAAAAAGCCUAAACCCUAAACCCUAAAAGCCAAAAAAACUUAACGUGGGAAAAACGGAAAAAUCGCGUCCACGUCAGCGCGAUGUCGAGGUACGCGUCAGGAAAUCGCGUCCACGUAAGCAUCUCGCGCUUACGUGGAUGCGAUUUCCGAAUGCGUACCCUGACAUUGCGGUGACGUGGACACGAUUUCAUGGAAAAUGGUCCAUUCUGGUAAAUAAUUAUAUAGAGGGCCCAUUUCGGUAAUUUUUUACAAAAAUGGGCUUUUAUUGGUAAAUUGCCCAACUUUUUCAUCUGUUUUUAGUGAUUUGACAAACGAUACAAACUGAAAGACUAAAAAAGAUAAUAAAAUAAAUAAAUAGAUGGCUAAAAUGAUACUUCUUGAAAAGUUAAAGGGCCAAUAAAAUCGUUAUGACUCACAUAUGAUUUAGUUAUAAUUAGACUUGAACUUAUGAUUUUAAAGUUUGGAGGGCUUCAAUCUUAUCUCGUUGACAUAAAUUUAUUUUCAAAAAAUUGUUAUCAAUUAUAAUUAUAAUUUGUUUUUAUUCUGUUUUUAGCUUUUUAUUUUUUAUGCAAAUACACAUUAAAUAUUUAAAUUUAAAUUAUAAUAUAAUAUUAAUUUUAAGAUGAAUUUUGUAAUGUUUUAAUCAAUUUAUUUUCCUUUCAAACCUUCUAACCAAUUAACUUUACCUAAGUAAUUUAAUCAACUUGGUUCAAGGUUAAUAUAUAAUUCAAUUGAAUUGAAUAUAAAUUUAAAAUAUUUAAUUUUAAUUGAAGCUAAUAUAAUUUUUUUUAUUAAAUAAAAUAGAUACAUUUAAUUUUAUGGGAUAAAAUAAGAUUUAGUUCUUGAAUUUGGUAAUUAUUUCCAAUUUGAUCUCUGAAUUUUUUUAUCCAUACAAGUCAUUGAACUUGAUAGUUUUUCUCAACUUAGUCCAUGAACUUGGAUUUUGUUAAGGUAUGAUGAUGUGGCACUCUGAAACUAUGUCACAUUAUCAUUUGAAUUUUAAAAAUAAAAUCUUAUGAUUUCUUUAUUUUUUGUAUUUUUUAGAGUUUAUUUAUAUAUUUUUAAUUUUCAAAUGAUGGUGAAAUACAAUUUUAAAAUGUCAUGUCAUCACUCUUGAACAUAAUUCAAGUUCAAUGAUCAAAUUGAGAAAAAUUGUCGAAUUCCAAUAUUAAUGUGGACAAAAAAAUUCAAGACCGACUAGGAAAUGUGAGAGAAACAAUUUUUUAUUUGAAUGGCAAGAGUACUUUUUCAUUGCUUUGCAUUACAAAUAAAUACAAGUGUGUAACUAGGUGUUUGAGAUAGAAUACAACAGUGGUUUGAAUCUUUCAAACUAUUCAAAAAAUAAACAAAUUCAAUCCUAACUGAUUUGAAUUAAAAACAAGAAAUAAGUCAUGUCAACUAGGUGAGGAAGUUGACGUGGAUUGAGUCAGUUGCUUAACACCCCCCGCAAACGGAUGGGGAAAAGCACCAGCAGUUUGUCUUUCAUCAACAAGAAGCGUGAUUUUGACAGUGGCUUAGUGAGAGCAUCAGCCAAUUGAUCCACAGUGGGUAUGUAGGAAACAACAAGAUGCUUCUGCCGAACCUGAUCUCGAACAAAGUGGAAAUCGAGCUCAAGAUGCUUUGAGCGAGAAUGAAAAAUUGGAUUUGCAGCCAAGUAUGUAGCAGCCAUGUUGUCACACCAUAUCCGAGGAGCAGACAGCAGAGGAUGCCGCAGCUCACGAAGUAGACAACAAAGCCAGUAUAACUCAGAGGCAGUUGUAGCAAGCGCUCGAUAUUCAGAUUCAGUGCUGGAACGAGCAACGGUCUUCUGUUUCUUUGAGCACCAAGAAACAAGAUUGGCACCUUGAUAAAUAACAUAAGCCGAGGUACUUUUUCGAUCAAGUUUGUCUCCACCCCAAUCGGCAUCAGAGUAGGCAGUUAAAGCAUUCGAAUUAGAUUGACAGAACACAAUGCCACGAUCAAGAGUUCCCCGUAAGUAGUGAAGAAUGCGCUUAACUGCUUGCCAAUGAUGAACAGAAGGCGAAUGCAUGUAUUGAGCCAUUUUAUUGACAGCCUGCGAGAUAUCUGGACUAGUGAGAGCCAAGUAUUGUAAAACACCAACAAUUUGUCGAACAGUGUCGGAUCCUCAAAUGUAGUAGAGGAAGCAGCCAAGUUAGCUUGUGGAGUCGACGGGGUUGCAACACUCGAAGCCUCAUGCAUAUUAGCACGAUGCAAAAUGUCCAAAAUAUACUUUGUUUGAGUGAGCUGCAAACCAUUUGAAUGCCAAGCAACCUCGAUACCGAGAAAAAAAUAUAUAGGUCCCAAAUCUUUUAGCGCAAUCAUCUGUCCAAGAAGAUUAGUGAACCGGUGUAGAAGAGAUGGGGAAGAACCAGUCAGUAUCAAAUCAUCAACAUAUACCAAACAGUAGGUUGUGUCACCACCGGCCGAAUAAAUAAACAGCGAACUAUCCGCCUUAGAGCUGUAAAAACCAAGCUUCUGAAGUGUACUAGCAAGACAAAAGUACCAAGCACGAGGCGCUUGUUUUAAACCAUAAAGGGACUUUUUGAGAGCACAGACAUGAGUCGGUUUUGUUGGAUCAAUAAAACCCUGAGGUUGCUCCAUAAAGACAGGCUCAUCAAGUGCACCAUGGAGAAAAGCAUUGGAGACAUCAAGUUGUCGAAUGGGCCAGGAAUUCGUCAUAGCAAUUGAAAAAACAAGACGAAUUGUAGCCGGUUUGAUAACUGGACUAAAAGUCUCAACAUAAUCAAUACUUAGGCGUUGAUGGAAUCCCUUGGCAACGAGGCGAGCCUGAUAGCGAUUGAUCGAGCCAUCAGCUUUAACUUUAAUCCGAUACACCCACUUACAACCGAUAAUAUUCGAAGCAAGAGAUCUCGGAACCAAAUCCCAAGUGUCAUGAGACAUAAGUGCUUCAAUCUCUUCUGACAUUGCCUUCCACCAAGCUUGGUGUUUAGCUGCCUCAGUAUAAGAUGUGGGUGUGGUUAAGAUGGUGGAAGAGGUAAUGUAGGCUCUCGAUUUGAGGCUGCCAGUUUUUGAGCAUGUAGUAUAUGGAUGAUUGGGUAUUAGUGGCGGUCUAAAGGUGAUGGGACGAGUCGGGGAAGGCCUAGAUUCGACCGAGGGAGAAACAGGAGUAGCCACAAUGAUCUGAUCAUUGGUUGGGGCAGUGAAGGCAAUACUGUAUCGGUUGAGCUUUGAGAAGAGGCUAGCGAAGAAGUAGAGGAUGACAUCGGUUGGACUAAUAGCAUAUGUGUGGGCUGUGGUGUAGUGUUGCCGAAAGAAAUAAUGGAGGCUGGUGGUGGUGGAGUGCCAAGUAUCGAGAGCAUGUAAUUGCUAUAUUUGAACAAAAAAACCUGUUCAUCAAAGAUAACAAGUUGUGAGUAAAAAAUUUUAUUGGUGGAUAACGAUAAACAUUUGUAACCUUUAUGACGAAUACUAUAACUUAGAAAGACACAUUUUGUAGAACGAGGCUCUAAUUUAUUCUUUGUAUACGAGCGAAGCCAAGGAUAGCAACAACAACCGAAAACACGAAAAAAAUUAUAUUCCGAGUUUCAUUGAAAAAUAACUUGAUAUGGGGAUUUAUGGUUGAGUUUUGGGGUUGGCAAACGAUUUAUGGUAUUGAUGGCAGCAGCAAAGGCAUGAUCUCAAUAUUUAGGUGGUACUUUGAAAUGAUGUAAGAGUGCUCGGCCAGUUUUAGUAAUAUGUCGGUGUUUUCUUUCAGCGCAGCCAUUUUGUUCAGGGGUGUGUGGGCAUGAACUACGCUAUAAGAUGGCAUUAGAAGCUAAGUAUUUUUCUAGAGCUUGAAAUUCCCCACCCCAGUCAGAUUGAAACUGUUUAAUCGGUUUGCCAAAAUAUUUUUCAACGAUAGCUCGGAAUUAAACAAAGCAAUUGAAUACAUCAAAUUUAGUUCGCAAAAAAUAAAUUCAUGAAUACUUGGUAUAGUGAUCAAAAAAGACAACAUAAUAUAAAUAUCCAUCAACAGAGGCAAUUGGAGAAGGUCCCUACAAAUCCGAACAUAUUAAUUCAAGAGGUUCUUUUGCUUCAAAAGUAGAAUCAGAAAAAAACAAUUUUCGAGACUUACUAACACAACAAGCCUCACAUAACGACAAGUCAUGCUUAGAGGAAGCAGACAAAUUAUUCAAAUUUAAGACUUUGCAAAUAGUUUUGGAACACGCAUGGCCUAAACGAGCAUGCCAUGUAGACAGGGAAACUGAGUGACAAACUGGAGAAACAGGAUCUGCGGCCAGCCGAUAUAGGCCAUCUCUAAUGACUCAUUGAUGAAGUACCUGCUUCGUCUUGAGAUCCUUAAUCACAAAAUGGUCAGAGAAAAAUUCCACAAAAACAUCAUUAGAUUUAGUAAACUGAGGAACAGAAAGCAAAUUGAGAUUAGCUUCUGGAACAUGAAGAAUAUUAUGAAGCGAAAAAGAAUGAGAACCAAUAGUAAUUGUAUUAGAACCAAGACGAGAAAUGGACAGAGAUUUACCAUUAGUGAGAGUGACUUCAUCAAUUCCGCUAUACUCAGAGUGGAGACCAAGGUUUUCCAGUUCAGAAGUUAAGUGAUGAGAGGCACCCGUAUCGACAACCUACUGCUUGUCGGAGUGAUGAGAUGAAGAGUUGUAAUUGGUAGUCGGCUUAGGUUGGGUAUCAUUGUAUUUCGGGCUUGGACAUUGUCUGGUAGUAUGGUCACGCCCUCGACAAUUAUAGCAGGUUGGUUCGGAAGGAUAGGAGCCACCACGACCCUUGGAGGAAGAGUAACCAGCUCGGCAGUUGCCACGACCCCUGCCACGGGAGUUGCCAUUAGAUUGUUGUCGACCGGCAUAGUGGGCAACAGCCGCUGGAUGAAAAGUCUUAGAGGUAGAUUGUAAUUGUGAUUCUUUAGACAAAAGUAAGCCGUAUAGAUCAUCAAAUUUCACAGACACUAAUCGUGCCUCGAUGUUGCGAGUGAAGGGCCAAUACUCAGGACCAAGUCCCCGUAAAAUGUGAUCAACAAGAUCAUCCUCAGAGAUCGGUUGAUUGAGAGCAAGAAGCUGAUCAUAUAUACGCUUUGCACGAUCCAUGUAUGUAACAAUCGAAUCAGUGCUACGAGUGAGAGAAUGCAAUGAAUUUUUGAAGGACCGGAUCUGAACACGGGACUCGGAGGCAUAGGUGGUUUGAAGCUUUGUCCACGCAUCAAUGGCAGUAGUUGAACCAACAACUUAAGACAGCACUGGUUCAGAGAGAGAGCCAAAGAUCCAGCUUAAUACAAGUUGAUCUUUAAUAUACCAGGCCUGGUACGCCGGAUUCGGUGCCCCGUUAACCUCUCUCGCCGGAGAGGCAGUUCCAUCAACAUGACAGUAUAGUUGAUUGCCAUGGAGGAUCGGGGUGAAUUGAGUUUUCUAGAGAAGAUAAUUUGAGGCGGUGAGUUUAAUGGUGAGUUGGUUGUGGAUGGAAGGGAAAGACAUAAGCGAGGACAUAACAGAGGAGAUAUCAGCAUCGGUGGUUCCCAUGGCAGAAGGAGAAGGAUCAGGAAAAAAAAGAAGAGAGAGAGGCGUUGAAUCCUAAAAGAUGGCUAAGCUGAUACCAUGUGAGAGAAGCAAUUUUUGAUUUGAAUGGCAAGAGUACUUUUUCAUUGCUUUGCAUUACAAAUAAAUACAAGUGUGUAACUAGGUGUUUGAGAUAGAAUACAACAAUGGUUUGAAUCUUUCAAACUAUUCAAAAAAUAAACAAAUCCAAUCCUAACUGAUUUGAAUUAAAAACAAGAAAUAAGCCAUGUCAGCUAGGUGAGGAAGUUGACGUGGAUUAAGUCAGUUGCUUAAUAGGAAAAGUUGUCAAAUUAAGAGUCUAAAUAUUGUUACAUCCCUUAAUUUUAUAUCACGUGAUUAAAAUGUUAUUAUUUUGUAAUUAAAAAUAGAGAAAUGAAUAAACUAAAUAGAGAAUGCAUAGAUAAACAAUAAUUUUAAUAAUAAAGAUAUAAAUUGUAGUUUUAUUUAGAAUUUGCUUAACAAAUAGAUUUGGGUUUAAUUUUUUUUCAAAUAUGAGGAAAGUAUUUAGCAUUUGUGAAAUCAUAGAUAAAUGUAUUUUACACUAAACUCGAGAAAAAUAAAUUCUUUUCAAUAAUCACAUUAAAUCUGAUUAAACUCAAAAUCAAAUUAAUUAGAUUUCCUAAAAAUGAAGGAAGAUCUCCCAAUACUACUUUUGACAAGAUUUGGUCUUUUACGUUUCCUUUUUUUUUUUUUCCCCUUUCGUCUAAAGUAACAGUGAAAGCACCAAACCAUUUUGUUUAAAGCUUAACACCUUUACCUAAACUAGUCCUUCUUCAACCAUUGAGUCGAAGGUUUGAGUUGAGAAUUCUAUCAUCUUUUUUCUUUUUGAAUAUAAGAUUUGUAUCAUUUUAAAAUGAAUGUAGUUACGAAAUUUUGUUUCACAAUAAGUUUAGCUUAAAAUCAUAGUGAUUUUAAUAUACGGUGUUUUUGUGAAGCCUAAAAUGGUGGUCGAUCAAUUCUAUACGCUUAAAUUAUAUAUUCAACAAUACUUAAUUAAGAGAUCUUCUUGCUUUCUUUCUGCGAUCUUCUUAGAAACAGUAGCCUAUAAUAUGUUGUAUCUAUGGUUACUUUUCAGAAUAUUACAUAUUGGGUUUUAUUAUUAAUUAUCUUAAUGAGUAUUUAUAUAUAUGCUUUCUUUUUAACAUUAUUCUUAUUAUAAAUUCUCAUCAUAUUUGUUCUUUUUUAUACAAUAUCUAGAUUUACUCAUAGUCCCUCCCCAACUCUUAAGGAGGAUAAUACACUUUAGCGCACUCAAACUCACGUUUUUAUUUGUUCUUUUUUAUACAAUAUCUAAAAUUAUUCAUAGUCCCUUCCCAACUCUUAAAUAGGAAGAUAAUACACUUCAGCGCACUCAAACUCACGUCCUCCUGUACUUAUAACAAUGUCGAUAUCAAUUGAGCUAACACUCAAUCCAUGUAUAUUUUUUUUAUUGUUACAAAUUUUGAGAAGAGGAUAAGUUGUCAAAGUUUGAAUAUUUGCUAUUGAUACUAAUGAACAACCUUAUCACUCCAAGUGUGACUUUGUUGAUGAAUAUAAAUUUUUAGUGCCUAGUUUCAAAAACGAUAUAAAUAUAUAUAUGCAAAAAUAUAUGUGCAUCAUACUUUAUUAUAAAAUUAGAAGCCCUGAGUCCCAAUAUAUUUUACAAAUAUAUGGGCUUGGGUUGGAUUCCUAGAACCUCCUAGGAUUUGUCAAGUUCAUCUGCCCUCAUGUAAAAUGGGCAUAAAAUCCUGGCCUUAGUAUGUAUGGGCUUCAACACUAAAAUCCAAUUAUCUCCCAGGCUUUGGGGCGUUGAUGAUAUUUUUCAUAAGGCUUAAGUGAGAUGGAUGUAUAUAUGCAGGGGUCAUGUAGGACUUGUGGUUGUGGCUGCUGCUCUUGGUUUACUUGGCCCCUGGUGCUGAGAUGGCAAACUAUGAUAGGCCCUGUAAACUCGAAGAAGGGAUCUAAUGAAGCCAAGCUCUCUCUAAACAUUAUCCUAUCCAGAAUCUACUCCUCCAUAAUCUGACCUUUGCUUUUCUGGCUGGGAUUCUCUUCUCAAUCUCAUGGAUCACAUUCAAACUCUUCUCUCACUACUUCCAAACCUCCUGCUCCCAUUCCAUUCUCCUUUCACUUUUCCUCUCAUUUCACUCCUACUACAUACUAUAGUCUCAAAUUCUUUGACCUUUGUGCCAAUCUCCUUACACACCCCAAAGGUCCAUAGAUUUCACCUUGUGUCAUAUUAUGUUUUCAUGUUAUUCCACAUGGCAUUACUUUAGAUUGGUAAAUCAUGAUGUGUAGAUAAAACUAUGGCUGGGACUUCAGUCCUUCAGCAGACCAACUUCUUUUCACCGCCUGCAGAUCCACCACAAUUCUCCGAGUUGAAUUUGAGGUUGAAGGAGCAACAGUGCUUAUCUCUCCUCAAGAGGUGCAAGAACUUGGAAGAUUUCAAGCAAGCUCAUGCCCAGAUCGUCAAAUGGGGUUUCUUUUGGAACUCCUUUUCUGCAAGCAAUCUGGUGGCUGCAUGUGCUCUCUCAGAUUGGGGUAGCUUGGACUAUGCCUGUUCCAUUUUCCAACAAUUCCAUGAACCCGGUACUUUUGAAUUCAAUACCAUGAUCAGAGCUCAUGUCAAAGACAUGAACUUUCAGGAUGCUUUAGUUUUUUAUUAUGAGAUGCUUGAAAGAGGAGUUGAGCCUGAUAAUUUCACUUAUCCUGCACUUUUCAAGGCAUGUGCCUGGUUAAAGGCAAAAGAGGAAGGAAUGCAAAUUCAUGGGCAUGUAUUUAAGUUUGGGUUUGAAAGUGAUCUUUAUGUACAAAACAGUUUGAUCAAUAUGUAUGGCAAAUGUGGGGAGAUACAACAUUCUUGUGCAGUUUUUGAGCAAAUGGAUGAAAAGAGUGUUGCUUCUUGGAGUGCUAUUAUUGCAGCAAAUGCUAGUUUGGGAAUGUGGUAUGAGUGUUUAAUGGUAUUUGGGAACAUGAGUAGUGAGGGAUGUUGGAGGCCUGAAGAAAGCACACUGGUUACUCUGCUCUCUGCUUGUACUCAUUUGGGUGCUUUGGAUUUGGGGAAAUGCACACAUGGGGCAUUACUGAGGAACAUUAGUGAACUCAAUGUCAUAGUUCAAACCUCAUUGAUAGACAUGUAUGUCAAAUGCGGGUAUUUGGAGAAAGGUUUAUCACUCUUUAAGAAGAUGACCAAAAGGAACCAAAUGUCCUAUACUGUAAUGAUUUCAGGGCUUGCCAUGCAAGGACAUGGUGAAGAAGCUCUAGGGAUAUACUCAAUGAUGCUAGAAGAAGGUCUGGACCCGGAUGAUGUAGUCUAUGUGGGCGUAUUAAGUUCUUGCAGUCAUGCUGGCCUUGUUGAUGAGGGCUUCAAUUGCUUUGAUAGAAUGAAAUCUGAGCAUGGAAUAGAACCAACAGCUCAGCAUUAUGGUUGCAUGGUAGACCUCAUGGGAAAAGCUGGGAUGAUCAAUGAAGCUCUUGAGUUCAUCAACAGCAUGCCUAUCAAGCCCAAUGAUGUGGUCUGGAGAAGCCUUCUUAGUGCUUGUAGAGUUCAUUGUAACUUGGAAAUCGGAGAGAUUGCAGCCAAGCAUCUAUUCGAGUCAAACUCGCAGAACGCCGGUGACUAUGUGAUACUGUUGAAUAUGUAUGCACGAGCUGAAAAGUGGGUGGAGGUGGCUAAAAUUCGGACGGAAAUGGCUAGAAAAGGUUUCAACCAAGUACCAGGAUUUAGCUUGGUUGAAGUUGGAAGAAGAAUCCACAAGUUUGUCUCGCAAGAUACAUCUCAUCCUCGAUGCGGAAGUGUCUAUGAGAUGAUUCACCAGAUGGAAUGGCAGUUAAAAUUCGAGGGUUAUUCCCCGGACACGUCUCAGGUAUUGCUUGAUGUUGACGAAGAAGAGAAGAGGCAGAGAUUGAAAGGUCAUAGUCAGAAGCUAGCCAUUGCAUUUGCACUCAUCCAUACGUCUAAAGGCACACCUAUAAGAAUAGCUAGAAACCUCAGGAUGUGCAGUGACUGUCAUACUUAUACCAAACUAAUAUCCAUCAUCUAUGAACGUGAAAUUACCGUAAGAGAUCGUAAUCAAUUCCACCAUUUUAAAAAUGGAACUUGUUCCUGUAGGGAUUACUGGUGAAGCGAUAAACUUUUCAUUAUCAGGAUUUUGAUUCUUUCAUCUGCCAUGAAUUGCCAUUUCCUUCUGCAUUAAACUCUAUACAUGAUAGUUGUUAUACAACCAAAAAAAAAAGUUAUUUUAAUCAAAUUUUCUCUUGCAAACAAUUGUAUUUCUGGGAAAAAUGGAGCCAAGAUCGGUGCAGAACUCACAUGGUGAGGAAUGCAGCCAUAAAUCAAAUGAUUUUCAAUCAUAUAUUAAGAAGAAAGUUGCCAAUCCAUAUGAAAAUAGUUCUAAAAAUUGAUGCAAGUAUUGUAAAUCAGUCCGAAUCGAAGUUUUCCUCUCUGCUUUUUUCUUUCAAAUUCAAUGGUCUUCCAUGGGCCCUAAACGUUCAAGAUGAAUACUCAAACCAGUUUAACGAGAGUUUUACAGAAAAAUUAAAUCAGAAUGGUUUAGCCUUAGGGCUUUACAUGUUCCCUGAUAAACUGUUCUACCUGUGCUACUUCCCCCUUCAAACCUGAAGCAUCUGCAACGGUAACCACGUUUCUACACUGAGUGAAUGAAAAUAUUUCUCCAGAUACUCCGAGAGUGAAGUCAUUUGAAAUAUCAGCUGCUGAUAUUGCACUUCUUGAUGCCCGCAGUUUCUCACUAUAAAAAUGGUAAAAACAGACAAAUUAAGUAUAAAUGACAUGCAAAAUAUAAUUACAGAAAUAUAGAACAUAUAGAGAGAAACACACUAGUGAUCGUACAUUUCCUUUUCUAUUUGCUUUCUGAUGAACUCCUUGGUAUGUGCAGUCACUUUAUCGGAUUUAUUGCAACAGAUAAGAACUGGAAUUUUCUUCUUAACCACACUGGCCUUGGUCAGAAUAUCAUACAGAUAUCUGUUACACAAAAGCGAAAAUCGUAUCUAACAUACUUCUUGGUAAUCAGAAAGCAAAAGGAAGAGAAUUGCAAGUGUAGCAUAUGCAUUAUCGUAGCUAUUCUUACUCCGAAACUGAAGGGCAACUUGGUAAGAACUCCACAGCAUCCACAACAAACACAAUGCCAGCUGCUUGAGGCAAGAAUUCAUCCAGUUUGGGCCGAAGACGAGAAUGACCAGGAACAUCAACAAGAUGAAUCGACUUGAUUUUUCCCUUCUAUUAAAUGAUAGAUUUAUUAGAAGUGAGGGAGAGAGAGAGGAUGUGGAGUCAGUUAAAUACGGGACAAUGAUCCAAAAGUACCAAUCAAUGACAACAGAAUGAAAUAAGAUGCCAUAUGCCACAUAGGAAAACAGAAAGCAUAAACUAACUUCAGAAAUGCAAGCUAAGAUGAAUUACCUUAUUACUUUCAGAGUUUAGCACGAAAGUGCCCUCAUUUGGUUCCAUGGAUGUAACAGUACCCUGAUGUGAGGAACCAUCACGAAGCUGACAUGGGAAUAAUGUCAGGAAAGUUAUGAGUAGCGACAAUAUCACAUUUCUAAGCAUUUCAACUAUGCUAAAAACUUAGGACAUCAGAAUACCUAUCUAAUAGUAUAUUGUACGUUCCACAGCCAUACAGGACAUCACUAGAAGAAUUUAAUAUUUCAGAUUUUAAGAGUUUGGAAAGGAACAAAGCAAAUAAUGGAGCUGCGUACCACAUAGAAAAGAACUGUUUUACCGCUCCCAGUAAGGCCUGUGAGUACUAUGGUAUUUGAUUUAGUGCGCUUGAACAAGCGGACUGCAAAACAAAGAGUGAGGAAAAGGUAAGUAAAUAUAACUCAAACUCCAAAUGGGAAACUGAUUAUAUCAUAAUAUUGCCUAAAAAGGAAAUCUCAUAGAAUGCUAAAUGGGAAUUCAUUAAAUUAAAAGCAUGAUAAGAAACUUCAAGGUAAUAUAUCUUGUAUAUUUAUAUCAGUCUAAAUAGGUUUUUAUCAAGAUGAUAAUCUAAAUGCUUAUGCAUUGAGCAACUGACCAAAUCCAACAACCAUUUGUUAGAUAAAUAAUCAAUUAUUAACUUCAAAAAUCUAACAAUUCACACAUGAAAUAAAAUUUAGAAAAAUCCAUACAUCUUUUAAAAAAUAAAUAAAUAGAAAGGGGUUUAAUCACUUUUGCUACUAUAAAAGAAUGACAUUUCAAAUUCUUAAAUGCAUAAACCAAGAAGAAAUAUGAAAACUAAGGAAAAUACUACUGCCUAAUUCUUGAAGAAACAAAUAAUAAACAAAAUUUCUAUUCCAAGAUCAUUAUUAAUAAUCAAUGCGGAUUUACUGGAGAAAAGCAAGAGGGUAGAUAUGAACAAGACAGCAAUAGCAGCAUAGAGUUGAAUUGGGGGUAUUUGAUGCAAAUAUUCAAUUGCUUGAUGCAACCACUGCUCCAGUUGAAUCUUCCAUGGCUCCAAUUGAAUCUUCAACUGCUCUAAUUGACCCUUCCACUGCUCCAUCCCUUCCAUCGCUUGAGUUUCAGGUUAUAUGGGAUAUGAAAACCUAGAAAACGCAAAACCCAGAUUCAAAAAUUAAUUCUUUUUCUGAAUCCUGAAUUAAGAGGUUUCUAAAAGGCAAGGAAGUUUGUCUGGUUCAAGGCUAGACAUUGUCUUUUCUCUUGGUAAAAAGCUUAGUUUUUCUUUAGAGCAAGACAGAUUCAAAGUUUUAACAUUCGAAAGUUGAAAAUUUUUGGGUCAUGUUCUCUUACACUCUACUAGAAAUUGAAAGCAACAAAAAGGGUAGAAACCAUUAUAACCAAAGUUUUUGAUUCAGUAGGAAAAGGAUUAGCCAAAUUGUGAUUCAAAAAUAUUUUUAAAGAAGUGAGAAAAAGAAACCAAAUCUCUAAUGAGAAAAAAAUUCGAUUAAGAUUAGAGAAAAAUCCCAACUUUAAGUAUCAACUCACAAUUUCAUUCAAAUGGAAUUUAGAUAUCAAAGUUGUAAAAAAAAAAUACAUACCUCUAACGUAUUUCUCUUCUCGCAGAGAAAAAAGAAAAAUAAAAAGUUUUCUUUUCUCUUUCUUCAGCUAAUGGAAAAAUUGAAGAACGAGUGAACUGAGGGGAAAAGAAAAAUUAAUCGCAGUAUCAAAUUUAACGGCUCGAAAUCAAAGUACCAAAUCUGACGGUCAAAAAUGACUGAGCUAAAGAAACAAGUUAAAAAAUUUCCCUGUAAUACACGGUGUAAAAACCUUGACCGAUGAAGAAAUUUCGACCUCCAAGCUGAAACUCCCCCCUCUAUCAUGUUUAAAUUGAGCAUUCAUUUCAAUCCAAAGCAAAACAGGCUGUUUCUUUUAUUCUAUGGAUCCUGUUUGACUGAAAAAACAGAUCUCUAAUUCCAUUAUCAGCCUUGUUUAUUUAUUUAUUUAUUUAUUUUUACUAGUAGUGGUUUUUCCAUUUUUAUUUAACUAACUGGCAUUACAUCAUUAAAAUUUCAGUGGGUCUUUUCCCUUUAUUUUACACAUCGUAAGAAAGUGUUGGAUACGGCUCCCUACCACAUUUAUAGCUGCUAACUGUAAUAUAGUAUCUCCAUGUUAUGUUUUCUCUGGUUAUUGGAUCUUUUUUUUUUUGUGCAUCUAGCAAUUCAAAAUUUUGUGGUCAAUAGAAAUAUUCAUAUCCGCAGCUUUUGUUUUUUUUACCAAUGUUCCAUUUGGAUCAAUGUAAAAUCCUGCAAUAAGCAUUGGAUGUCACUGAAUACUGGGGAACUCUUCCAGCUUGUCCUUCAUUUUCCUUUAAAUGAUGUUCCACCAUCAUCUCUCCCUGUUUAUCAGCCUACAAUUCCGAAUCCCUUACUCAGACAUAUAGAGUAAGAUGAGAUGAACUAAUAAGAUCCUUGCUUGUAGCUCAGAUCCGGCAUGAAAUUUUUUACAAAUCAUAACCCUAUUGGCAACUAAUGUACCAGAAAUAAUGAAAACCCGUCGACAUGGCUUCAUGAAGAUUUUAUUCAAAGUUACGGGAACCCCAGCUGCAGUAAUGAGGAAUCCUUCUCAAGCUGGAUGUAGAACAGAAAUCAUUUGCAUGAAGACGCUUGAAGUAGCUAUCUUCAGCCCAACAAAGUGCUUGUGCAGGUCAUUGCAUCCUUCUUUCAUGCCGAUGCCAAAUUGGGAGUGUAGGGAGUCAUUAAUUCUUAUAUAAUUUCUAUCUGCGGGGUUCAAAUUAAAAGGAUGGAUUCAACAAGGUCAUCGCUAGUCCCAUGGCAAUGACAUUCUAGCCUGUAGGAUUUCUAUUGCAAUCAGCUUAAAAACCUUUGAGCAUUGAUACGUGAAGUUGAAUCGUGAAAAGCAACUUACAGUCUUCCAUUGUCCAAAAUAAAAGAUUAUCAAUACAAAUGUAUAUCACUGAACUGCACUACUACAGCUAUCCUCUACUUAUCACAAAACAAAUGCCUGCUUAACCAUGUUAAAAAGUCAUGAGUCGGUGGCAGUAUUCACAGGUUAUUUCUUCCUAGUAAGACCUAUUGCAGUAGCUAUUAAUAUAUCUUGAAGAAAUUAUAAAGCAGCUAAAAAAUUCAUGUUUCUCUGCAGGGUACUUGCAUCAUAAUGGAUCCUCCACACUAUAGGUAAGCAAAAUCAGGUUUCUGAAAUACAUAUCAUCUUUAGCAGCCAAUAGCAAGAUCAGGAGGGACUGAAGCAGGAUCAAGUUCCCAGCAGUCUUUCAAAAGAUCAGGGACAUCAUCACCAUAAAGCUUCCGUGCAGGAAUCUGAUGUGAAAACAACCUAAUGUCAUCUUUUUCAAGCCAUCUAAUAGCCUGACAUCCAAUCUCCUGUCUCUUAAAUACCGUCUUGAAUCCAUCAACUUUCUCAAGAUAUGCCAUGCUCAAUCCAUGAACUUCACUAUAAGUUGUUAAAAGCACAACUAUGUCAUUGCAGUGUUUAUCUCUAGCUGAACAAUUUCUUCCUGCUGCACCUAAUUUAGCUUCAUUAUAAAGAACCCAAACUGAGCCCUUCCUCGGAUAAAUCCUAUAAAAUUCCUUUGCCGCCCUUUCACAUUCUACCAUGUGCGAAAAGAUAUUCACAGAGUUAAUUGAACUCUUCCUGGCGACCUUAAAUCUCCCACAGGAUACAUGAAAUCCCAUUUCCUCCCAACUAAUUAACUUGUCAUCCCCAUUAUUCUGAGAGUCCAACCAACUCAUCUUCACUUCAAACGGAUUUACCGAAAACACUUCCUCAAUCAAACCAUAACGCCUAGGCAUUCCAUCAUCAUCAUAUAGCCCACACUUGCCCUUUCUUAAAAUUCCUCUCAGAUCUAUCUUUAUAAAAAUCAUAGAAAUCCAAAUCCUCCACAGCCACAAUUUCCAUGUCCCUACUCUUGGAACUACGGCGCUUCUCAAUGUCUGAAUUCACUCUCUUCCUAGAAGUCCCUUGCUUGGUGAGCUCUGAAUUUUGAUUCUUCUUCCCAUUCUCUUGAGUCUUAGCUUCAAAAUCUACACUUCUUUUCUUAGUUGAACGUGUCAUAAUACCCAAAUUUACACUUGCCUGUGAAGGUCCCUGAUUCUCAAUCUCAAAAUCCUUACUCUUCUCUGAUGCCUUCGGUUUCUCAUUCUUUGAAAGACUACUUUGUUUAGGUUCAUCUCUCUCACUUUCCUUCUCCUUUUCACCUGCAUCUUUCACCUUUUCUUUUUUAUUCAACUUUUCCCGUCCUUGAUUAGCCUUUUGCUUCAUUUCCAACUGCAUUUCCGCAAGUGUCAUUGUCUCCUCUGCAACUUUUACCCUCUUUGACUUUGAGCUCUCCUCCAUCUCAUCAUCUCCCACCUUCCCACCUACAGACCUUGCCAAUAUCUGCCCAACAGUACUCAUACUCCUUGAGCCUCUGCUCCUCAACCUCCCCACACCCCACUCACCACCAUCCACUUCCUUCCCCACAUCAGCACUCUCUUCCUCCUUCAAAUUCUCACCACUAGCUUGCCUCCUUGAGCCUACACUUCUAGUUGUCUCACCAGUACCCUUUCCCCCCUCCAACCCAACACCUUUGGGACCAUCCAUCUUCCUCUUCAACCUCUCACCUGGUUUAGAAGCCAAGACAUCCUCCUCUCCCGUACUUUCACCAUGACCAUCAUCUUCUCCAUCAACCUCCACAGCCAAAAAGCUCUUCUUACAACUUGGGCAGACCAAAUUAUGCCCCAAAUACAUCUUUUCAAACUUAUGCAACAACCUACAGCGCGAACAGGCAGUCCAAAAUGUCUCACCAACAGCACCAUUAUUCCCUUCCAAUCCAUCAAGCCUUUCCUCCUGAAUCCUAAUCCUAAGCUUCAUAUCAUAUUCUUUCCUCCUAAUCUUAUCAGAAAACAUCCUAAACCCUUCACCAACUAGCUUAAACGCUUCUUCACAUCCUAAAAAAGGGUUCUUGUCAGGAUGCAAAAUCAAAGCUAGUUUUCUAUACUGUUUCUUGAUGGAGUUAAAGUGGGAAAAGGGUUCUACCUGGAGAAUUUUAUACCAAUCGGGAGCAUGUUUGGGUUUGGAAGCCGCCCGGAGAAUCUUAAAGGCAGUGAGCAUGGAGGAGAUGCCUUCGAGGUUUGGACAAAGACGGUGGGCUUUCUUGGCAUGUUUGAGAGCGGAUUGGAGGUUUGAAUUCUUGUAUUUGGUUUCAGCUAGUGCUUUCAAGCGUUGUGCUUCUUGCUCUGCAUCUGAGUGGGUCGUCAUCUCUGAGACAACGAGGAGAAGGAUUCCCUGUCGGUAGAGAAUAAAUUUUUUAGGUUAGGGGAUGGCUUAACCACAGAGUAGUGGUUUUGUGUGUUUCGUCGGUUUGAGUUCUGUAACAAGGAAUCGUAAUGCCCCCUUUUUGAUUUCCGAUUUUUCCUGUUGGACAAUAAGAAAAACAAAUUAGAGCCAAAAAUCAGCUAACCCCUUCCCCUCCUUUUCUUUUAUGAAAAUUUUAGCUUUUUAAAUGAGUAAAAGUGUUUUUUAGAGCCAAAAAUUUUAAGCAAAGCCUGUUUGUUGAGCAUAGCUUUAAAGAUAAAAAUGUUUUUGAAGCUAGAAUUGCUUUGAACAAAUGAUUAGUAAUUUUGAAAAAUAAAAUAGAUAAAAUAUUCAUUUUAGACCUGGUGAAUAAUAUUCAAAUUGUUAAUAUUUUCAUAUAUGAAAAAUAAAUUUUAAAUAUUUUUUAAGUAAUUAACCAAAGAAGUGAAAAUACCAUAUGUUGAAGAAAUAAAAAAGUAAUUAAACUGUCAAAACUGCUUUUAGGAGAGAAAAACUACAAAUUUUUAACUUUCCCAUAUGGGAAAAAAUGCUUUUGAAAAAUUAAAAAUUUCUUUCAAAUGUUAUUUGUUUAGCAUUAUUUUUACUUCAAAAAUAUUUUCAUGUCAAAUAUGCUUCUAAAAAGCACUAGCCUAAGUUAAUUUUAAUAAUUUUUUAAUAAAAAAAGUAUUAAGGAAUCUUUUUUUAGUUUCACAAAAUAUAAUUUACUAAAAGUAUUUUUUUAUCUGUAUUUGUUUUAAUAGAAAAUAACUUGAUUAACGAAAAAUAAUUUAUAGAUCAAUAGAAAAUAAUUUUUGUUCCAGUAAAAUAAUUUACCUUCUUUAAAAGCAAAAGACAUUCCUUUAUAAGUAAUUUUAUUAUAUUACUAAUAAAUUUUUAAUUUUAAAAUUAUUUAUAAUAAUUUCAAUAUUAUUAAACAUACAUAUUUAAUUAUUUAUAUUUAAUAAUAUAAUAAUUUAUUAAAAUUUUAUUUUAAUAAUAAAUUUUAAAAAUAAUAUUCUUCAUAUAUUAUUGAAAAAUAUUUACUAAUAUUUUAAUAAUAAAUAUAUGUUACAAAUAUAAGUAUAUUAAUAAUAAAUAUUUUAUAGUAUAAAGGUUAAAAUAUUUAUAAGUCCAUGUACUCCUUAAAAUUUUAGAAUUUAGUCUCUCUAAUUUUAUUUUCAGGAAUUUAGUUCCUCUAGUUUUUAGAUUUAAAAAUUAGGUCCAAUUAUUAACACCAUUAAUUUUUUUGUUAAUUUUGUUGAUGUAAUAUUUUUAAAUAAAAAAAUCCACUUGGUAGUCAUCUAACUAAAAAAUGAUGUUAUAUUGAACUUGAAUCUAACAAAAUAUGUUUAAUAGUGUUAACAGUUGAACUUGAAUUUUAAAAUUUAAAAAGUAGGAUUAAAUUCUCAACAAUAAAAGUACAAUGACUAAAUUUCAAAUUUACGAAGAGUACAUGGGCUCAUGACAUAUUUUAACCUCAAUAAAUAUGAAUAUUUUAAUUAUAUAAAUAUGAGUAUUUGUUUAAAUAAUGAUUAAUUUCAUUUAUACCUUACAACUCUAAUGUAUUAAUAUAUACUCUCAUAUAUGUAAUUUGAAUUAAGUUUCAAUUAGGCAUUAUUUAUUAUUAAGUUUAUAAAUGAUAUUAAUUAUUACAAAAUGUUAUCUUAUUAUAAAAUAUAUUUCGAUUGUCAAAAGGAAAUUGUACUAUAAUAUUUUGUAACAUAUUUAUUUAUGUCGUUUCAAUUAACAAAGAACAACAUUUAGAAAAUGAGUUAAGAAAACUUGCUAAACAACGAAAAAUAUUUUAUGCAAAAUCAUCUAAACACCAGAAAUAUCAGCUUUUCCAAAAAACUAAUUAUUUUCCAAAAAUAAUUUUCCGGAAGUUAUUAUCUAUGAAAUAAACGCAACUAUAGUUACAGGAGUUGGAUUGAAUUUUGCUCUAUCUACUUAAAAAAAAGGUUAAAUUAGUUAUUCUAGAUUGGAUAAAAAGUAAACUAGUUCUUUUAUUAAAAAAUUCAUUCAUUUAUACUAUUAAAAAUUUAUUCAUGUACCAAAAUGAAGCACAUGUAGCACGUCACAUUCACUAUUUAGUUAUUCCACCAACUAUGCUAGUUUUUAAUAAUAAAUGGAUAAUUUUUUAAACAAAAUGACAAAUUUGCUCUUUGGUCAAAUGUAUAAGAAUUAAUUUACCUUUUUUUUUAGUAAAGAGGGCAAAAUGCAAUCUGACUCCUAAUACAGAGACUUCUAUAGUACUUUUAUUGUUAAAUUUGUCAUUUAUAACCACAUAUCUAUACUUCUAUUUAAGCUCUACCUAAGUUAAUGUCACGAGUCAGCCGACACCAACUUAGUUAAAAAAUUUACUAAAAUUUCCUUUAAUAUUUAAAAUAGGUUAUAUUGUCCAAUGGUACUUUGAUCUUUUUUAAUUAAAAAAAAACAAUGAAAAUAUAGAUAUGAUGGGAUGUGAACCUAAGCUAAUUGCAUUGGUAAAAUUUUAAAUUUAUCACUCAACAAAAUCUUUACUUUAAUUUUAAUUUUAAUUAUUCAUUUGUGUUCUACAUAUAUGAUUUAUACAUGCAUACAUGUAUGAUGAAAUUUCUAGUUAUAUUAUAUUAUGUGUUACGAGUUAAUAGACACUAAUUCAAUUGAAAAUUUCAAUUAAAUUUUUCAAGGAAAUUGAAAAAUAAUUAAAAUAUCCAUAUUUUUUUACAAAAUAGUAAUUAUAAUUAUAUGGGAUAGUGGCAAAAAGUACAUUGUAGUUUAAUAAAAAAAAUUAAUUUGAUACUUGGUAGUUUUUGUUUUUGGGUGAUAAAAACAAAACAAAGAUUACAUCAAAAUAAAUUAAUCGAAAGUACCCUUAGCUUUAUCUUGAUGUAGAACUCCUAAUGCAUCAUGAGGGACUUCAUCAUAAACCUAUAAGCUUGUUUGCUAUCCUAAACUCAACUUAGCCAAACAUUCAGCAACUCGGUUAUCUUCUCUAGGGACAUGCCUAAUCAACUAUUGUCCUUCAGUUCUCAUAAUUCGUUGGACCCUCCUAAGCACUAUAAUGCCCGACUCCACCAACAUAUUAUCCUAUAGGGCUCGAACCACCUCCAAGUUAUCAUUAUGAAUCAUAACUCUAUUAAAUCCUUACUAAGUAAAAUAAGCAUGCCAUCCAAAAUACCCCAUAAUUCAACCUUAAAGACUAUGCAUUUUUCGAGACAGUGGUUAUAACCUAAGAUCCAAUCUCUAUUCUGAUCUCACAACACUCCACUAGUAAAAACACUUCCAGAUCCUCUAUUCAUCGCACCAUUAGUGAAUAAGUGCACUUGAUUACCUGACAAGAAUGUUCGAGUACCAAAUGCAUGAUCGCUUAGCUUGGCUCCAUUAUGGAUUAACUCAUACUGUUGUGCCCAAUUGUAGCAAACUUUGUUUAAAGACAAGCCAAAGAGAGAAGCUGACUCUCUGUUGCCCCUGAUACUUCCACAUAAUCUUCUAGAAAUCGUUUCUAAGAUUCCAAGAAUUUUCUUUUAAAGACAAAAAGGUACUUUAAACAAAAAAGAAUCUUGCCAUCGUACGUGUCCAAAUAAUCUUAUCUAACCCUGAUGAAGAGUGAGGGGGAAGAAUACUUACUAUACGCCUAACAACAUCCUCUGCCAGCCAAACAUGAAAAAGAUCAAGAUUCCAAGUUUCGUCAUGUGAAACCAUCUCACUAAGGGGGCAAUCCAAAGAAAGAUUAGCAUGGACAUGAAUAUACCUUACCAAAAGACCUAUUGUCAAAAUCCAUGAGUCCUUCAAUAGCAAAUGCUAUUGCCAUUUCUUAUUGGCCAAGCUAAAUUAUCAUAAAACAAGGGUUAAACCUUAAAAAGAGCCCUCUAAAGAUAAGAAAAGUUACUUCGCGCAAUGCUAUCUAGUAGUUGCUCUUUCAAAUUAUACUUCACUCAAAGGAUUUGUACCAAGAAGGAACUAUCCUUGGAUACCAGAUUAAACCCAAUAUUCAACAAAAACGACAUAUUUUGAUCUCUCAAAUAUUGAAACCCAAGGCCACUAUGAGACUAAGGUUGAUAAAUAGACUCCCACCCAACUAAUGUCAUCUUCUUAUACCCUCAUGAAUAACCCCAAAUAAAUUGUCUAACCAUUCGUUCAAUCUUUGCACAAACUCUCUUGGUAUCAUCAUAGACUACAUGAAGUAGUUAGAAAUUGAAAGAAUCACAGAUUGAGCCAAAGUAACUCUACCAACUAAGGACAACUUCCUAGCAUCCCAACUUUGUAACUUGCAUCGUACAUUUUCCACCAAAAAACUCAAAGUACUAUUAGUGACCUUUUCAUAGAAGAAAGACACCCCCAAAUAAAAGCCAACAUUUUGUACUUUAUGAAACCCAAGCAACUCACUAAUAUUGUUGUUUAAUUCAUAAUCCACUUCUCUAGAAAAGAAAAUAUUACUUUUUCAAGCACUGAUCUUAUGCCUAAAAUACCCAUAAAAGUGCUCUAAGAUACUCUUGAGUAAGCGUGCUUGCUCCAACUUCGCUUUGCAAAAAAUAACCAAAUCAUUUGCAAAGAAAAGGUGAGAUAAAGUAGGUCAUGAUCUUGAUAAUUGAAUAGGAAACCAGUUACCAGAACCUAUUUCAGAAUGAAUGUUGUAUCCUAUUCAUUCCAUGCAUAACAUAAAAAGAUACUAUGAUAGAGGACAUCCAUGUCUAAUCCCUCUAGCUGGCUUAAAUUUCUGAGUAGGGACUACACUCCAUAGAAUACGCAUUGUGGAAGAAGAAAUAGCAGACAUAAUCAUUUUCAAGAGAAAAUCUGGUAUACCUGCAGCCUGAAGGGAAGCAUCGAUAAACUCACAGCUCACUCUAUCGUAAGCUUUUUCAAAAUCAAUUUUAAUUGUCAUUCAUUUUCUACCAUUGCAUUUUCCUUUCAUGGAGUGAAUAACUUCCUACGCUACAAGUAUAUUAUCCGUGAUAUUUCAUCCAACAAUAACCAUUCCUUCUCCUAUAUAAUAAAAUUAAGAAAAACUAACUUGAAACAAUUAGCAAUAACUUUCAUGACAAAUUUGUAAAGGACAGAGCACAGACUAAUCGAUCAAAAUUGGGUAAAGCUUUUAGGAUUCGCUAAUUUAGGGAUGAGAACAAUCAGAGUACUAUUCAACUCCGCAUCAAUAGCUUUGCCUGUAAACACCCCUUUAACCCACUCACAAACAUCAUUACCAUCAACAUCCCACUGAAUUUGAAAGAAUAGGGCAUGAAAUCCAUCAUUACCCAGAGCCUUCAAUGGCGCCAUGUCAAACAAUGUCAUCUUAAUCUCUUCACUUGUGACAACCCUAUCCAAAAAAAAAUCCAAAGAGUUAAGACGAGGAAAAAUGACAAACGAGAGUUUUUUCAUCCUGAUCAAAAGAACACUCAUCGUUACCAAGUUGUAGAACAAUAAUACGAUUAAGCUUUCUCCACUGAAUCAUACGACUGUGGAAAAAUUUAGCAUUAUGAUUACCCAGAUUAAGCCAGUCACACCUAGCCUUUUGCUUCCACAUUAACUCCUUGUUACUAAGAACACUCUUCAACUCUUCCCGUACUUCCAUUUUGAGCUGAGAUAAUCAAUCAAAAUUUGACUAUUCCAUCCCCUUUUGAAUAUUCGAAAGCGAUUUCAUUAAUUACUUUUUUUAGGUACCAAUAUAUCCAUAAGCAGACUCAUUUUAAUAAUUAAUACGAGAGGUAAAAUGAGAUAAAGACUCAAUCAUAUUACCUGAAUAACUCCACUUGCUUUUCACAAAAGUAGCGAAAUUGUGAUGCUUCAUCCACCCAGCUAGAAACCGAAAAGGCCUACCUCUGGAAAAGUUUAGUUUCGGCCUCAUAGAAAGGAUAAGAGGGCUGUGAUCAGAUUUAAGCCUUGGAAGAUGCAACUGAACAAUUUGAAAAGGCUGAAACCCAAGAAUCAUUAGCUAGCGCCCUAUCUAACCUCUCAAAUGUCCUGCCUCUAUACCAAGUAAAGGAUGGUCCCGUGAACCCUAAAUCCUACAACUUAGUAGAUUAAACAAACUUACCAAAAAUAGAGCACCUUUUCCUAACAGAACGACCAUUUCUCUUGUCAAUAUGUGAAAGAAUGACAUUAAAAUCACUAAUAGUCACCCAAGGUGAUGAUCCCUAAGGCAUGAAUUUCAACUCAUCCUAAAGAAGCCUCAACUUCUGCCUGUCUGGGCUACCAUACACAAAGAAAAUAUAAAUGAAUUUGGAAGGGACAUUACAAAGCACUCGAAUAAGAAUAAACUGAGGAUGAUUCUGAAUCACCUCAACCCAAAUUUAAUCCUUCUAACCAAGCCAAAUACCCCUUGAGAAACCAAUAACUUCAACGCGAUUAAAAUAAUGAAAACCCAAAUUAGCAACAAUAUUAUCCAUUUUUUUACCGUUGAUUCUAGGCUCCAGUAAACACAUGAUACCCAGUUUAUAUUCCAAAUUAUGCUCCCGAAAAACUCAAGAUAAUUUGGUAUUGAGACAUCCUGGAUAGUUUCAUAAGGAGAUGGUUAAGUUUAAAUCCAUAAAAAAAAAGAGAGACGAACCUCAUUGUCUAGGAAUCUCUAAGCCACCCUACUGCUCUUCCACCUUGAUUGAAUUACCUGCACUAACAUCCACAACAAGCUGAUAGGUGAUAAAUUCAGCCAUAGUAUUCAAAGACUCAAACAAAGGAACGCGUGGGCUGUCAGACGCCUUAAAAAUAACUUCCCCGAUAAUGAAUUAUUUUAUUUAACUUCCUCCCAUUCCGACCAACCCCCGAUUUUUCCUCAAAAUUUCACUCAAAACUCCGAAAAGAAUCCCUACCUAAGCCCACCACCAAAUCUCCAUUUGUCGGUUCACAGGAAUUUUUGUUUUUUAUUUUCCUUAAAGGUGACUAUUGUAUGCUUUCAGAGGUUAAUACCACUCUCCAACAUUAAAAUCGCAAACUCUAUCGGCCCCUCUAAAAUAGGAUUAAAAUAGGUUGUCGCCAAUUGAAUACUAGUAAUCUGUAACACCCCCUAACCCCAAAUCGUCACUGGAACAGGGUUAUGGAACAUUACCAAACAUAUCGGAUAACUUAUAACUAAUUCACAAAUAAAUAACAUACAUAGCAUACUUUAAUCAAUACAUCACCUAGAUGCAUGCCACAUUUUCAAAAGAAAGGUACAUCACUAAAAUUUCUCUGAGGUCGGGAUUGCUCUGGAUGCUAGACCAGACACUGGUUUUCUACUAACCUGCGCACGGAAACAACCGUACGCUGAGUAUGAGAAUACUCAGUGGUAUUAUCAUAAUUCAAAUUAAUAACAUUAAUCAAUAAAUUAUAUACAUUCAAUUUAUGUCUACAAUUAUUCAUUAAUUAUCUCAUACUUUAAAUCAACUUGACAAUUAAUAACAAUAAGCAAUAUUUCAAAUCUUGUAUUUAAUUGUACCCAUACCUUAUUUCACUAUCUCAAUUCCAUUAAAAUUUUCACAUCUCAUUCCAAUAGUUCAUUUCAAUUCAUAUACAAUUCAUUCAAUUUAUCACUAUAUUCAAUAUCAAUUCUAUUGCAAUUUGUACUCACUAAUAUCAUAUAACAAAAAUUUAUUCUUAAUCACAUCAUGAACUUUGGGUUCAUAUCUUCAAAUCUCAUAUCUCGAUUUCCAAUUCACAUAUCAAUUCACAAUUUCACUUUCUCAUUUCUUUCCAUAGCUCAAUCAAUCACACUUAUUCAAAUUUUCUCAUUUCAAUUAUUUACCUCUAUUAACAAGACUCGGACCUUGGCGGAUACACGGAUCCAACCAAACACACCAGAAUGGCACCCAGUGCCUCAUCAGAUAGUUCGAAGCAAUAAAGUGACACCCAGUGUCUCAUCGACAGAGUUGCAGUAAGUUGGUACCCAGUACCUCAUCGAAUCUAUCUGAAGUAACAGUAUGACACCCAAUGUCUCAUCGACUCAAGGUCGAAGUAUCCCUGAACACUUCCAAUCCUAUGGCAUGCCAACUAUAUCCAACUCAGCCCGACUAGUUAAUAGGGUAUUCAAAUCAUUUUUCUAUUUCAAAUUCACUUUCGAUUCAAUCACAAUGCAAUUCAAAUUCAAUUUCCACUUUCUAAUCAAUAUGCAAUUCAAUACCAAUACAUUUUCCACUUUUCAAUCAAUAUACCAUCAAAUGCUCAUACAUAUCCAUACUUCAUUCCAAUUUCAUUCAAUUCACAUACAAUUCAAUAUCAUUUAAUUCAAUAUCGAUAUUCGCCUUAUUUUUAUUUACUAAACAUAUUAUUCAAAAUUCAACAAUUGCUAUUAAUAAAUUUAAUACCAAUACGUAUUUUUUUUUUCAAUUCAAUCAUAAUACUUACCUCAAUUUGUUUAUCAUGUAUAUUAAUUUAAAAUUUUAACAAUUAAUAAUUAAAUUUGAAUUAUGGUAAUACUAACUGAAAUUUUCUCGAAUCACUCCUUGUUCACCUUCUCCUUUCCUUUUUCGGACAAUGACUCUUGCACAACAUUAGCUACGUAAUUAAACAAUUAAAAAUCAUUAAUACACAAUUUCAUCAAAAUAUUUCCAUUUAUACCUAAACUUUACCUAAAUUCUAAUUUAAUCCCUUAUCAAUACUAAUUUUAUUUUCCCAAUCUAACUCCAUAUUCUCUCUUAAUUCUUACUAUAAACUCAUUUUAACUAUUCAUUUUCACCAUAAAUUCCUAAUUUCAAAAUUCUCUCAAUUUAGUCCCUAUUAAUUCAAAGCCUAUAAUUUAUUUUACAAAUCAACCUUUUACUAACUUCUAACUUGAAAUUCAAUCAAUUUAAUCCCUAAUUUUUCAAUUUAUUCAACAUAAAUAACAUCUAAAAAUUUACUAACUUUCAAAAUUUCAACUUCAAUCAAGUAGUAUUUUGUUCUAGGAUUCUAAAAAUAUCAAAAUUAAAAAAAAAUGGGGGCUAAAUUAACUUACCAAUUGAGCUUGGAACUUCAAAACCCCAAUCCUCCUUUUUUUUUUCUUUUGUUUCUCCUUUCUCCUUCUCUGUUUCGUUUUUCAAUUCUGUUUCUUUCUCUUUUAUUUCUUGUUUUAUUGUUAUAAUAAUAUAAUAUAACAAUAUACUUAUUAUUUAAGUAAACAUAAUAUAUAAUAUAUAUUUUAAAUUAAAAAAUAUCUUAGAUAUUUCUUUUCUUAUGCCACCUCAAUUUAGGCUGAUGGCAUAAUUGCCUAUUUGGUCUUUUUAACUUUCUUUAAUCUAUAAUUAAACUUUUAUCCCUACUUCAAUUUAGUCCUUUUUCACAAUAACUCCUAAUUUAGAUAAAUUCACUUAAUUAAAACCUAACUAACUACACAAUUAACUUCGUAAUAUUUAUAAUAAAUAUUUACGAGUCUGAUUUAUCGGAACGAAGUCCCGGGCAUACUUUUUUUUUCAAUUCGAUCCUUUUUAAUCAAUUAACCAUCAGAAUAUUAAAAUUUCUUAACGAAACUUUAAUACUACCCUAAUGACACUCCGUAAAUAUUUAUAAAAAUAUUUACGACUCAGUUUAUAAUAUCGAGGUCUUGAUACCUCGUUUUUGACCCAAUUUACCUAAUAAUUUCUUUUAAAUCACAAAAUUCUCAAAUUUUAGAAAUAUUUCUAAAAUCACGCUUAACUUAUAAUUAUUAAUUAAUAAAUUUUCUAAAUUUUUUAUCGGGUUUAGUGAUCUCAAAUCACUAUUCUGACACUAAUGAAAAUUGGGCUGUUACAUAAUCAAACAUGAACCAGCUCUUACCACCGCAGCAACACCAGUCGCAUCGGGAAAUUCUUCACAAACGAUCUCAUCAACAUUAACUAGUUAGGCUUGAUAACUCCCAUCGACCUCCACAACUUGAUCCAACAAAGAUGGGUUCACUCCCUCAAUAGGAUUAUUCGGUUUAGAGCUUUGGGCUAAUUGUUUGGCCAAUAAAAAACUCAUUGAUUCAUUACCUUGUAAUAUUUUUUUACCCUGAUUAUUCAUUAAAGUUACAACCCUCUUUGAUCCUAAAGACCCAAUUGUAACAAGGCUUACUUUCUUCAAUUGGCCUGACGGGCCAGCGUUACCCUUAAGACCUAACUUAUUAUACUACCCAAUCUGGGCCUCAAGACCCUCAAUACCCAUUUAACCCAAAUUUAUAACAUCUCUUUGUGAAUUUCUUGCUAAAGUUUCUUUCCCUUUACUGCUUGUCCCCCCAAAUUCUUAUCUCUAUCACCAAGCUCAUCCAUAUCAUUAUCUAAGUAAAUCAAAGCACUAAAUCGGGAACCUUCAAAAUUUUCUCAUCUGAUUUCCCGUUCCAAUUACCCUAAGCUCCCUCGAUUUACAUCGUGAAUUCUUCUUUACAAGCAUCCAAGGCCUAUAAGAUCCACCUCUCUUUUGCCUUCAUUGGCCAUCAUCGAAUCCACCAGCGUCGAAAUAGACGGUAGAGUCUCCUUUUCAGCAUUAGGGUCAAGUACUUUAUUUGGGAAAGCCUCCUUCAUAUGCCCAUACCUCCCACAUCCAAAACAAAUUGUCGACAAGAACUUGAAUUCGACUUACUAAAGGGUGUUGUUGAUCAAAACUGAAGAGACCAGAAGCUUGUCCAAAUUGACAUACACGACCAUGCGAGCAAAAUGCCCUAUUACCCUACUGUUGGUAUUCAUAUCUAGUUUUGUAACUGUUCCAACCAUUCCUCCAAUUUCCAACUGUAUCUUCCUUUUGUACAUAUAACACGAUAAACUAGGGAGCAUGACCCACUACAUCACCACACUCGAAAAAGGUUGUGCAAGGUUGAAACUCAUCGUCCAAGGCUGCAGCUGUAACAACCCGGUUUGACUCUAAUCGAAAUAGUGGUUUCGGGACCAAAAAUCCGAGUCCUAAAAAUAUUUCAAUAUUAUUUUGUGUGUUUACUUUGUGUGUAUUUGAUUGUGUGAAAUUUUCGUGUUUUAAUUUUGUUGUUUGAGUGUCCGAUUAAAUAAAAGGAUUAAAUCACGAAAAAUAAAAAUUUAGGGGUUAAUUAUAAAAGCACCUAAUUGUUGUUGUCUUUUUAAAUGGAAGGAUUUAUGAUGCAAUAAGACCAUAAAGUAGUGAGUGGGUGAUAAUGGUAAAAAAUGACCUUAUAUUAUAAGGUUUAUAUAUUUUGUAUUAAAGGUUAAUAUAGUAAACUAAUAAUUAAAUAAACAUAUGAUAUAAUAAAUCAAUUGAAGCCAUUAUUUUCAUUCUUCUUUUGCCGAAACUUAGAAAAACAAAUAGGGUUUAAAAGCUUUGAGGUAUUCGGUCAUUAACAAGCUUAAUUCAAGGUAUGUUUUACUUCAGUUUUUGAUAAUUUUUACGUUUUUGAGAUCGUUGCUUCGUGUUCUUCAAAACCCAUAUCUUAAUUUUGUGAAUUGUGGAUGAUUUUGAAAUGUGCCAUUGAUGAAUGCUUGAGUUUUAUGAUGUUAGUAGGUGAAAUAUGAAAUAUAUUUGUUAGAUUAAUAUAUUUUGUAUUGGAAUUUUUAGUGAAAUUGAGUAAAUAGGGCUAAAUUGUGAAAUUAAAUUUUUGGGGGACUAAAGUGUGAAAUAAAUGCAAUGUGUGGACUUGCAUGAGAACCAUGAAUAUUCGGCCCUUGUGUGGUAUGGGCAAAUUUUGUAUAAAUUGUGUUUUAUGCAAUAGGGACUAAAUUGCAAAAAGUGUAAAUAUUAGGGGCAAAAUAGUAAUUUUCCAAAUUAUGUGUUUUUGAAUUAAAUUGAAUGUGUUAAUAAAUAAGUUAUCUUAUUUUGAAUAUAUUUAGAUCGAGAACUAAAGAAAUCGAAGUUAGAUCGGGGAAAAGCCAAAUUAGUCGAAUAAUCGUCCGACUUCGAUUUUCCAUCGUCUGAGGUAAGUCCAUUAGCUAUUUAAUGUUAUUAAAUCCAUAUCUAUAUGUAUGAAUAUCUAUUAUGUUGUUGUUGAGCUAUAAUUAAAAGUAAUUUAAUUGAAUAAAUUCAAAUUAUAAAUGGUAUAAAUAUGUAUAUACAAUGUUCAAAUAUAUAGGUAUAUGCUUAUAUAAAUUUUUGAACUAAGUUAAAGUAUGAAUGGUAUAAAAUUAUAUAUAUAUAAAUUCAAAUAAUUAUAUAUGUAUCUAUAUGUAUACAUAUGCUUGAAUUUGGUUGGUUGUAUGAGAGUUAUAUAUAUGUGCACUUAAGAUUCAAAUAUAUGUAAGUAAAUACAUGUAUAAAUUCUUGCUUAAAUUAAAGAUAUGUAUAAUACAUAUGUAUACAUAAGUUUCGAACAUAUAGAUGUAUGUAAAACCAUUUGGGUUUGAUUAAAAGUAUGUAUGUUGUAAUUGUACAGAUAAUUUCGAAUAAGUAAGUAUAUGGAGUUGGAACAUCUAUAUAUAUAUGAAUAAGUCUUGAUUAUAUUUUAAGGUAUAAAUGUUAAAAACGUACUUGGGAGUUCGAAUAUAUCUAAAUGUAUAUUUGUGUACAGAUUCUUGAAUUGAAUCGAAUGUAUGAUUCGCAAACUCUUUUGUGAUUGAAUAUGGACUACAAUGAAUGUGUGUUUGCUGUUAAUAAGUAUUUGAGGAAAUUAUUCUGUAUAUGGGAAAAUUGAGAUUUUCAAGCAUAGCGCUUAGCAAGCUUAUUGCCGGUGAAACGUUUCAGACUAUAUGUCUAGCAGGCUUAAUGCCGGUGAAAUAUUUCAGACUAUAUGUCUAGCAGGCUAAGUGCCGGUGUACUGAAUCAGGCUUAAAGCCUAGCAGGCUAAAUGCCGGUGAAUCUGUUUUAAGUAUGUGAUUAGGUGUACAAUUAUAUGAUUUUGGAUAUAUUUAAUUGAUAAGUAUAUUUAUAUAUAUACAUUUGGCUAAGUGCGUUUGAUGAUUAUAUAUAUACCCGGCUUAUACAAUUGAGAAAUAUAUAUAUGCUCUGGGAUUAUGCAUUUGAUAAAUAUAUACUUUUAAAUAUUCGGUACACAUAUUUGAUUAGUAACUAUAUAUGCAUUCGAGAUAUAUAUAUAUAUACCUUGGUUUAUAAGUAUUUGAUGAAAAUGAAUGCAUUCGUUCAUAUGUAUUAGAUUUGUAUUGGUUUAAAGUUUAAAAUGAGUAUUCAUACACAUUCGGUUAUGAUAUGUGUAUAAUAUAUAUAUGCUCGGUUGUAUACAUUCGUUGUAAUGUUGUUUGGUAUAAAAAUAUAUAUUCAAUUGAUCGCUUUCGACAGGUAUGCAUAUCUGUCUAUAAAUGAAAUGGUCUGAGUACAAUAAUAUAUAAAUAUUAGUUAUUCGUGUUAAUUGAAAUCUCAGUGAAAUAGAUUAAAAAGUAACUUUAUUUAUAUAUUUAUAUACAUUUAGUUAUGCUGUAGACUUACUAAGCUAUAAAAGCUUACUUUGUUUGUUUUCGUCCAUUUACUUUUAUAGAUUUUGGAGACGCGUUACGAGCUCGGGGAUCAUCAGCAUAGUCCAUCACACUAUCGACUUCUUUUGGUAUUUUGUUAAAUAUUUGAACUCAAUCUUAUGGCAUGUAUAGGUUUGAGUACGAUGUUAAUUACAUUUUGAUUGUAAAUUAUAAUAGCUAUGCGAAAGUAAUUAAAUUUUUACGUUGUGAUCAGUUUGGUUUUAAAAAUGUUGAAUUCGUUCGGUAAUGCCUCGUAACCCUAAUUCGGCGACGGAUACGGGUUAGGGGUGUUACAGCAGCGGUAGAUACUACCCGUAAAUAAUCCAGGGGCCUUUAGAGAGCACUUUAUUAUAAUUACUCUUGCUUUGAAAUCUAGUAAAAAAAUACUCGUUUUCAAUAUCCAUUAAUUAAAAGGGUGAAGAAGGUUUCUAAUGGCUAUAGAUUUUGUUCUGCAACGUCGAAUACCCUAUAUUACAUUCCAGGAUUUUUAAAACCAUUUUAGUACCCAUAUCAUUAAUCAAAAUCUGGUGAUCAAUCCACUACUAUAGCCUUAUCCAAGCCCUCGUAUUUGUUCGUAAAAUGAACUUUCUUAGUGAUCAAUCCUUCCGCAAAAGAAUCUUCAAACCCAACACCUUCACACAGAGAAGUAGCCAUUGAUACUUGUAGUUUUAAUUUGUUUGAUUUGAUACUUGUAUUUUUUCUCAUCUAACUUUUUGAUACUCCAGUCUAAUGGUGUUAAAUUAUGUUUAAAUAGACACGUGGAUGAUUGAAAAGGUGCGUAGGCGGUGCGUGGGCCAGAUCUUAAAAGCUAAACAG